AUUUUUUAAGGUGAAAGUCCAAUAUUGCCCCUAAGGCCUUGUUUGGAUACAUAGUUAAAAAACUCCAUGGAAUUUUUAUUCUAUAGUUUUUAUCUAAAUGAAAUACGGAAUCCUGUAACUACAAAAAAAUUCUACAGCUUAAUUUUUAAGCUAUUUUGAUACAGAUCAUACAAUUCCACAGUAUUUAUAACAAUUAAAUUUCUAAAAUUUUAAAAUUCAAAAUUCAAAAUUCAAAAUUUAAAAUUCAAAAUUCAAAAUUUAAAAAUAAANNNNNNNNNNNAAAUUUAAAAUCAAAAUUAAAAUUGAAUUUUAAAAUUUUAAAUUUUGAAAUUUAAAAUUUUAUGUUGAAAUUUAAAAUUUAGAAAUUGAUACAUCUUUGGGAGUCCAAAAUGGUGGAAUUUUUUCCUUUGGUUAAAGUGGAUUGUAAGUUUACUCCAUUUUUUGGAGUAUAGUAUAACUAUACUCCAAAAAUUACAUUAUUUUUUUUCUUCCAACUGCUUCAUAGGAUUAUUUUCCUACCGGCAUAGUAUAGUUUAAUUAUGUAGGGUAUAAUCCAGAUUAAUUGUUUAACCAUUCUCUACCACUCCACCUUAUAUAUUCCCUCUCUUUAUUUAAUAAUAAUAAUAAUAAUUAUUAUUAUUAUUUAUUAUUAUUAAUCCCCAUAAUUCCAUUAUUUUUGUAAGUAUAUAAAUAUAUAAAUAUAUAGAGAAGCUCAUUUUCCACUCUCUAUUCUCUCUCCCUCUCUCUAUCUCUCUCUCCCUCUCUCUCUACAUCUCCGUUUAUAGCAGAGGAAAAGCUCCGAAGCUUUAGCCCAAAAAUGGCGGCUUUUUAGGGUACGCUCCUUCUCCCUCUCUUUGGAUUCGUGUCGCACUGUUCGAUUUGUACUAAUCUGUUCGGUUUUACUCCCUUUUUUGGCGAAUUUUUAACGAUUUUUUGACAAAUUUGUGUGGCUUUUGAGCCGAAAGUGAUGUUUUUGAAUGGAUCCAAUGAGAUCUGUGGGGAAUUUGGCUAUUUGAGGAAUACCGAUUUGUUGGAUUGGGUUUGAAUCGAUUGCCUUGGGUGAUCUGAAUAUUUUGGCCUUUUCAUUUCCUUUUUUUUGUCAUAUUUUGUUGUUUUUUUUGGCUGGAGAUGUAUUAUUUGUGCUCAAGUUGUUUCAAAAUUGAUCAAAAUUGAGUAUUUUAGGUCGGUGAUUUAGUGCUUUGGUUUGUUGUACCCACUAUAGAUCCAAAAUUUUCAUGCAUUUGUAUAGCAAAUUCUUAGAUUUGUACGUAUAAAUAUACGAAUUAUUAUUCUCUUUAAAUGUGAUUAUUCUCGUUUUGUUUCAUGCAGGAGAUUGAAUCAUUCAUCGGUUGGCUUUUUGUUUGAUUUGUGAAUUAUUUACUGUUUAAUUUCCCGCAAUUUGUAAAUUGCAACACCUCCUACAAUGCCUGGAAUUAUAAUGGAUGAAAUUGUGAGAGAAGACGGAUCGAAUGAUGCGAAUUCGUCGCAAAUUAAAGAGAAUUUGUCGACCCCCAAAUCUCCGAGGGCUUCUUCGCCGAGCCAACUGAGUGCUCCGAUAGGCGCUCUCGAAAUCCGCGGUGGAAAUUUUGGGGAGCCGUCGAUCGAACAGCUUUACCACAAUGUGUGUGAGAUGGAGAGCUCCACCGAGGACUCCGGUCGCCCGAGCUUCGGAUCGGACGGCGAGGAAUCGAGGAUCGAUUCCGAGCUAUGCCACCUCGUCGGUGGCGAAAUGGAAGCUGUUAAAGCAAUCGAGGACGAAGAAGAGCGAGCUUCCCCGAGUGGGAAUAUGGUUAAGACCGAAUCCCCCGCCGAGUCUUUGAAUUCGUCGAAGAAGUCGAAAAAUCCUUCGAAAGCACAACUAGAAUCUUCUCCGGCCGUGAAUUCGAGCCCGAAUGAUAACAGCGUGAAGAAGACUCCUAGUAGAUUCGGUCGCUUGAAGAAGCAAGCAAACGGAGGCGAAGACCCAUCCGAAGCCGGACUCGGACUCGACAACCCUGACCUCGGCCCGUUUCUUCUCAAGCGCUCGAGGGAUUUGAUCGCCUCGGAUAACAUCCGAAGGGCUUUGAAAUACGCUCGCCGUGCAUUGAAAUCGUUCGAGAAGUGCUCGGACGGGAAGCCCAAUUUGAACUUGGUGAGGUGCUUACAUGUCUUAGCCGCAAUUAACUGCAACUUAGGGCAGUAUGGUGAAGCCGUCCCGCUUCUUCUACGUUCGCUUGAGAUUCCAGUUCUCGAAGAAGGCCCAGAGCAUGCCCUAGCUAAGUUUUCGGGCUAUAUGCAGUUAGGUGAUACUUAUGCAAUGUUAGGGCAACUUGAAUCUUCGAUAAAGUGCUACAAUGAGGGCUUACAAGUUCAGAAGCAAACGUUGGGUGAUACGGAUCCUAGGGUCGGUGAAACUUGUAGAUAUUUAGCGGAAGCUUAUGUACAAGCGCUUCAAUUCGACGAAGCACGGAGACUGUGCCAAAUGGCUUUAGACAUUCACAAGGAGAGCGGCGAACCGGCUUCUCUCGAAGAAACGGCCGAUCGACGGCUUAUGGGCCUUAUUUGCGAUACCAAGGGCGAUCACGAAGAAGCGCUCGAGCAUUUAGUUUUGGCUAGCAUGGCCAUGGUGGCCAAUGGCCAAGAAUCCGAGGUGGCUUCUGUCGACAGCAGCAUUGGAGACAUUUAUCUAUCCUUAGCUCGGUACGACGAAGCCGUUUUCGCUUACCAAAAAGCGCUUACGGUGUUCAAAACCAGCAAAGGGGAGAACCAUCCUGCCGUGGCUUCUGUGUUUGUUCGUUUGGCCGAUUUGUACAAUAAAAUCGGGAAGAUAAGGGAAUCGAAGUCUUAUUGCGAGAAUGCGCUUAGAAUAUAUCAAAAGCCGAUUCCAGGGACAUCUCCUGAGGAAAUUGCUACUGGGUUAACUGAUAUUUCUGCUAUAUACGAAUCGAUGAAUGAGCACGAGCAAGCAUUAAAGCUGCUUCAAAAAGCGCUAAAGUCGUAUAACAAUUCGGCUGGUCACCAAAGCACGAUCGCUGGGAUCGAGGCCCAGAUGGGAGUUUUGUAUUAUAUCACGGGGAAUUACGGGGAGUCUUAUGUGUCCUUCAAGAGUGCUAUUAGUAAGCUUAGGGCUUGUGGGGAGAAGAAAUCGGCUUUUUUCGGUGUUGCUUUGAAUCAGAUGGGGCUAGCUUGUGUUCAAAGGUAUGCUAUUAAUGAGGCGGCGGAGCUUUUCGAAGAAGCCAGAAGCAUUUUGGAGCAGGAGUACGGACCAUAUCAUCCUGAUACACUUGGAGUGUACAGCAAUCUUGCGGGAACGUAUGAUGCCAUGGGAAGGUAUACAUAUUUCUUAAUUAGCUUAAUAUCCUCUGCUAUAUAUUCUUCAUAUAUUUCCAUGUUGGAUUCAAUUUAUAUGCUAUUAUUGCUUUCCUUAAAUUAUCUCGACAUCAUUGCUAUAUGGUUGAUUGGAGUACGAUUUUUCUCUUCGUUUUUUUUUGACUCGUUGCAAUAGUUUUACUUAUGCUUUAAGGAUGAGUGCAACUUUUCUCAAGAGAGCAAUAUUUCCAUCAGAAUCUGAAAAUUAAACUAGAUGGCCAUUUUGCAUUAAAAUUCUACUUUUUUGUUGUUGUUUUUUUGCACAUCUUCUCUUCUUUUUAUUUACUUUUUCAACUAAUGAUAAAAUAUGCACCAAAAUACCCUUGAUCAAAGUCCAUAUAUUUAUCAUAAAUGAAAAUUUCAGGCCAACUUAUUUUUUGCCAGAAAAAGGAAAAAGUGGAUCAAUGAUACAAAAUCGAAAAAAAAGAGCGGGCUAUCUUUACAAGAACCGAAACAAGGCAUUCAAGUGCUGUUGAGGCAUGAAAUUCUCUGAGCUGUUGCGUAAAGUUUCAAAUAUUUAAAACUUAGGUGGUUUGCUUAUUUGAAGUGCUAUUGUUUAUUUCCCUUUCCAUUAUUUAUUUGUGGUCUGCUUAUUAAAAAGGUACAAUGUGAGUAUUAUAUGGUUUGCUUUGUUGCUUUUGCUUUGCUUUUUCUUUUUGCAUUAGCUUUAUUGAUUGUUGUAGGAAGCUUCCCACUAACACUGGGGGCAUGUGGUUUGCAGCUUUAUGGAAUGUCUCCUUUGCUAUCUCUUAUAUAGGUUAGUGUUAUAGUACUGACUCUCCAACUACUGUACACUGUGUCAGUUUAUUUUUUAUGAGCAGCAAAAGCUUAAGCUUAGCUUUAGAAUCGUUGAAAAAGAUCAAAUAAUGUCGCGAAUCUGCUUAGCUUUUAGUUGAUGAGGUUUGCCGAAGCCAAAUUAGUGAAGGAAAGGGUAAAUUUGACCCGUAAUGCGAAACCAAAUUAGGUAAUCUUAAGUCAAAAUUUGUCUCGGAUGUUUCUCAUAUCAGUUAAGCUAUAACUCCGAGAAUUUUUUACUGCAAUUUGUUGCACGGCUAUUCAAGAAGCCGAAGCCAGAGAGCUGGCAAAAAAAAGAAAGUAAGUUUGUUUGGCCAUGUUGUCGAGUGUAGUUCAGUCUGGAAUAGUGCUAUUCGAGUCAGCACUAUAUAAAAAUCAUCCCAAUGGCUCUUCCCUACGGUAGAAGUAGAAAUUUCAAAUUAAAACUUCUAUUUGGGUCUUAAAGCCUCGUUCUAACUUAUUGCAGUAGAGGCUCCAGGCCUUUUUGUACGUCAAAACUCUAUUAGAAAUAGCUGCAACUGAAAGCAAAAGUAGAAGCAGAACCAAAUAGGCACUUAAACAACUCUACUUAAAAAACACUUUUGCAAAUGCUCCAGCUAUAUCAAAAUCUAACACCCUGAUGCAAAUAUGUUGCGCUAUUCCAAACUUCAAAGCAAGGCGUAAUGAUGACGAUGAUGACAUCUGAGUUGUUCAUUCUCUUUUUAAUGUGUAGGUUGGAUGAGGCCAUAGAGAUGCUGGAGUAUGUGGUGGGGAUGAGGGAGGAGAAGCUGGGGACAGCCAACCCAGAUGUGGCUGAUGAGAAGAGGAGGUUGGCUGAGCUGUUGAAGGAAGCUGGAAGGGCCAGAAGCAGAAAAGCCAGGUCACUUGAGAACCUCCUGGAGACCAACCACCCCCCUACUAUUACUGCUACUGCUGCAGCUACAACAAACACAAAUGCCAUUGUGGCUUAAUAAUAUAAUAAUAAUAAUUCUCUUUAAAUCAAAGUGUGAUGAAGGUAGAGAGGAGGAUGGUAUUAGAAGGGUUCAAUGAUUAAUAUAUAACAUAAUGAUUGAUAGUUGAUUGGUUGCAUUGUAUACUUUAUUGCUCUUUUAAAGGGAUUUGUUCUUUUGGUUAAUUUCUAUUGCUUAGAAUAUUUGCGAUAUAUAUUUUUUUUAGAGAAUCUCCAAUUAUGUUUUUGGUAUGAUGUUUGAUGUAUCGCUAGCCAAUCAUAUGAUACUGCAUCGUUCAAUGCGUAUUAUAAAAGAUUACUACCACUACCACCACCACCACCACAAACACAAACUUUACCGAAAGUGGAGGGGGUCGAAGUUGUUUUCGGCCGUAAAUGAUUUCUUUUGCUGUCUGGUUCGUUGUAAAUUAAAUUCGCUUGUAAUUUCACUUUUUUAAAAUGUUAUAAUUGACUUCAUCGUGGGUGGUGCGGAAGUCAAUAGUAAAAAAUUAUCUGUUGUAACUUUUUGUUUUUUCACCUUCUUAUGUGAUUGUGUGGAAACUUUUGGUUUUAGGGGGUGGCUUCAAUGAUGAUCAUCACAAUACAAUGGUUAGUAAUUGAAUUGAUGAUGAUUGAUUGAUUGUACUAUAUUUGGUGAACUACUUGUGAGUUUUUAAAAAGGAUAAUGGAUAUGUCACGACGAGACCAGAUCCGCAAGUCCGAAGCCCGAUGGGUGGGUGGGCCUGGGCCUGAUUUUUUUCUGGUCCGGCCUGGAUCGGAACAUAAAUAAUCUGGGCUUGAGUCAGGUCCUUAAAAGGCCGAAUCGACUCGGCCGGAUUUAUAAUAAUCUCUUUAUAAAAUUAGUAAAACUAUAUAGAACUUAUCUGAAGUGUUGAUCGUUCUAAAUUUACUGCACAACAUUUUAAAAUUUUGAUUUUACUAUCUAAUAUUUUCAAUUUGUUUGUUUUGAGUCAGUUUGACGAUACUUUUACUUUAAAAUUUAAGCUAAUUGUUUAUUCUAAUAAGUUUAUAGCUGUGAGAAUUACAUGAAUAUACUAAAUCUGUAAAAAUGAAUGACAAGUUAAAGUACUGUUAACUACUCAAAUUAAAAUAUUGAAAGGUUAGAUAAUAAAAUUAAAAUUUUAAAAAAUUAAAUAACCAAAUUUAAAAAAAUGUUAUAUAUAAAAGAGGAAAUAAAAGUUUUCAAUUUGUCAAAUUUUCUUUUAAAUAUAACCUUUAUAUUCCCAAAGUGGAAAAUAAAAAAUAUGGCAAACUUCAAUGGGCACAAAAGUGAAAUUAUCUUAUAAAUUGUGAAAACUAUGCACCUUUUUUACUUUACAAUCUCAUGGCUUAUACCCUAUUUUAUUUGACACAGCAUAUUUUUAUGAUAGAAUAAAUUUUUUUUUUUUUUUAUGAGAGCUACGGCGCGUUUGAAGUAAUCACUUAAUUAGUUAAUUAUGGUGUUUAAAAAAAAACCGAACCGCAUUAUUUGUUCCGGUUCAACAGACUCCGACAGUAACCCGAACCGGUCCGGUUCACGCGCGAGCGCACUCUACCUAUCUUCGUCGUCGCUCAUCGAUCGGAAAAACCCUAAACCCUCCUCUCUCUCUCUCUCUCUCUCUCUCUCUAUCGGUCUCUCCCUCCUCCCUGAGCUCGACAAUGGCGAUCUCGAAGCCGAAGAAGCCCCAAACCACCCUCACCGCCACCACCACUGCCGCAUCCUCCUCCGCCGAGGACCUCGACCGCCUCAAAUCCGAGGUAGCCUCCUUCGCCUCUUCCCUCGGCCUCGCCCCCCUCUCCUCCGCCGCCGCCGGGUUCGACGACUCCGACUUCCGCAAACCCGUCCCCCUAAAAGCCCCCAAAACCCUAGCCCCCGAUCCCGGCGAGCCCAAGAAGGGCGACGACCGCGAUCUCAAGCCGAAGCAGAAACCCAAACCCCACCCCCUACAAAUCGACCCCUUCGAUCACGAGGACAAGAAGAGGCUACCCACCUAUCCGCUGAUGAAGGCGAGCUCGCUCUCGGGGCAGUGGUACGCCGACGCGGAGGAGGUGGAGGCUAGGGUUCUGGGGCAGGAAGUGAGGACGAAGGCGUCGGCAGCGGCGAUGGGGAUCGAGGUGAUGAAGGGGUUGGUGGCGAGGAAGAAGGAGGUGGCGGAGAGGCUUAUGAGGCAGUACGCAGGGGAGUACGAGCAAUCGAGGAGGAAGAGUGGGGAUAUGAAGCUUCUUGAAGUGACGGCAAGGUCGGGAACUUCUGCAGAUAAGGUUUCGGCAUUCACCUGCUUAGUGGAGGAUAAUCCGAUCGCGAAUUUGAGGUCUCUCGAUGCUCUUCUAUGUGAGUUACUCUAUGUACUCAUCAACUAGUGUCUCUUCUUUGGGAAUAAUUUAGGUGACCUGUAUGGUACAGUCCAAUUUCAAUCUAAUACCUUGUGAUUUAGAUUGUAACAUUUUACUGUGUCGAUACUAUAUGACUCAUCUAACCACUGUACUAAGCGAAUUAAUGAGAUCAUGCAAUUAGCUAUUUUUAAUCAGCAACUUGAUUGUCGCGUACUCGCAUUCUUCAAUUUUACUGGUUUUAAGGACAAGUUCAAAUGGGCAAUUGGAGCAGUAAUCUUUGGUUGUAAAAUGUUGCAUCCGUUUUAAUACAUUUCGUUUUCUGCAUUUUCUUUCUUGUUUCUGUAUGAAGGAACUUUUAUUUGAUGCAGCUAUGGUGACCUCAAAGGUUGGGAAGCGCUAUGCAUUUACUGGUUUUGAGGCGCUAAAGGAGUUGUUUCUUUCAAGGUUAGCGAAUUCAAUCUGCUAGUGUUGUAUUCUCUCUCUUUCGGGAUUUACUAUGGAUUUUUCACUCGAUUAGUCAUAUGAUCUUCUUCCUAAUAGAUAAAUUAUUAGGUUCACCAAGAAUAGUGAAAUCUUCAAUUCAUACCAGUUAUAUGCCAACUAGUGCUGGUUCAAACUCGGUAUAUGGUAUCAAAUAGCUCGCUGGCAUGAUCUUUCCUUAUGAAACAUACCUACGUGUGGUGCGGUAAUUUUUUUUUCGUCUGAAUUUUUUUUUUCAGGUUGCUUCCAGAUCGUAAGUUGAAAUGCCUUUUCCAGCGCCAAUUGGAUGUUUUGCCGGAGACAAAAGAUGGUUUUACUCUUUUGCUCUUCUGGUACUGGGAGGAAUGUUUGAAGCAAAGGUAAAUUAAAUUUUGGCGUCCCAUUAGUUGAUUUUUCUUUAUUGAGUAUCAUUACAGAAGUUAUUUCAUAUUACUGUCCAUUUUAUUUUACUACAUGUAUUUUUUACUCUCCUUGCAAUUGGGUCAGCCCUUUCUUUAUUGAAGCAUUUUAUAUUUGUUCAGGGUUCCCUGCCUAGACCUGUUUCAACGUCUGAUACUUUUUCUGGAGUUAGGAUUGAUAGAUUGAUGGAUUUGCAAAUAGAAAAAUGAGAAGAAAAAAAUAACAGCUUAUUUUCCUAACAUCUUCUUUUUCGAGCUUAUUAUUUCUCCCUUACUCUUCAGUGAGAGGUCUUCCGCAGCUGGAUAGCCAACUGUCUUAAUCUCUCUUAAUCCACGUUGAAAUUUAUCUAUCUGGCUUUUUUGCCACUGUUAGAGGUCAGAAUGUCUAUUAAUUUCAUGUCACCCUUUAUAUGUAGAAAGAAUGUUAAACCCUUUUUAUGCAGAAAGAAUGUCGAUUGUAGUAGGAAGUAAGAUGGGCUUAUCCUACAAUUCUGACACUUCUCCUUUGAGAUUGUAUGUUUAUUGGCUGACUUGUCAGCUCAAGCAUUAGUUAAGCUUCCUAUUUUGAAUAGCCAUUUACGGAUGACAUGGUUAACCGCCAGCACAGUAUAAUUUGCCUGGUAACUCGGAAAAACCAGUUUCAAAUUUUUUGGCGUGGACCAACCGACCAAGCUUUUGAGGUGGCAUCUUUGGAUUGCAUAGCUUUAUCAAACGUUUGAAAUAUUUGACUUUGUAGGUGAAGAUAGCUAUUAGUUAUGCAACUUAUGAUGCCCCAAGUGAACUUUGUAAUUUUCCCUUCUCAAGUUGUCCUAAAGUGUGCUUUGCAGUUGUCUAAAGUGACGAAGUGUUAUGGACUGUAUCGUGCAAAUUGACCGAGUUUUAUGGACUUUAUUGUGCUUUUGACUAAAGGUAUGAAAAGUUUGUGAUUGCUCUGGAGGAAGCACUAAAAGAUAUGCUACCUAACCUCAAGGACAAAGCAAUGAAGGUUAGUCUACUCUGCUUGCUAAUUUUCUAAUUCCAAUUUUCUUACUUAACUAUUCAUCUUAAGCAUUUGUCUUUUUGAGGUCUAGACUUAAGACCUGUCUAUCAUGAUAUUGGCAUGCAAUUUAUCGUCAAGGAUCGUUUUAUGGUUUAAAAUGUUGACAUGCUUGUUUGUCAAUAUUAGACUUCUCCUCAACUAGUAAGUUUGAAGAAGAGACGUACUCGAAUGUCCAGACAGAUUUAGGAAUAAAGAAGGUUUCAGAUAGAUUUUCACAAAAAAUGUUGAGCAGGGGGAGACAAUAGGACAGACAAAGCUUUGGGUUACGAUAGUUCGAGACUAGGUUCUCUUUGGUUGGGAAUAGGAGGAUCAGUAUUUGCUCAGAAAAUUAUUUUUGGUUAUGUAUUCAUUGUUAUAUGGUUCUUUCAUGCUGCAAGUAACAGAAAAUAUUGUAGCUUCUAAAUUAUUAAUUUGGGUGGUACUUGAGUAGUUUCACACAGGAUGGCUGUUUGCUUCACAGUAUGGACUGGGCUAGUUUUGAUUCUCAAAAAUAUCAAAAGUGGAAAUUUUCUUUUACAUGGUAUCAGGAUUUCAGCAUUGAUGUUGGUCAAAACCUUGUUUUUGAAGUGUCUAAUAUUUUGAAGUUUCUCACAAACUUUUUUCCCAAAAAUCUGCUCUCUUUUUCCUGUACGUACUGCCACUACUUGCCAAUAUAAAUAUGAUUUGUGAGUGGUUCUUGCGUCCUGGCUUUUUUAGGGUCAUUGCAGGAUCAAUGUUGUACUUUUAUUGGAAAGACUUACUGAUGCUAAAUGAUUGUCUUUCUUUCCUUUUUAUGGCAGGCAGUCUUCAUCCUUUUAAAAAGUAAAUCAGAACAAGAACGUAGGUUACUUACAGCUCUUGUUAAUAAGGUCAGUGAUUUUUUCUACUCAUGCAGCUCCUCUUGUACUGUUUACUGUCAUCUACCUGUGUGUUUCUCUUUCUUUUCUCAUCUUAUGUAUUUAAGACAAAAAAAAAUUGGCAAUGAAAAAAGCAACCCGUCAUUGUUAUAGAAGAUCUGAUACAUUUUAAGUCACAUGCAGCUAGGGGAUCCUGAGAGGAAGGCAGCAUCUAGUGCCGGGUAUCACUUAUCAUGUUUGCUAUCUGCACAUCCUAAUAUGAAGGUAACAUAAAUGAGCUUAUAUCCUUUUAGUUUGUUUUCUUUCUUUUGACCACACUGUUCAGAAUGUUAGUAUCCCAAACUUUAUCUUGCAUACAUUAAUAUCCAAGAUACUGAAAUCCCCUUGUGACAUGUAGAAUGCAAUAUUAUCCCAUAUUACUGGUUUACAACUAUAUGAUGAGGUCUAUACAUCAAACUAUCUUAUGCCGAUUGUAUUGACCAACCAACAAACCUUGUGGGCUGGGAAGUUAGGAGUAGAGAGAGAUAAAAGCGCAAUUGUUCUCUGGAAUUUUUUGUUUUUCUGCUUACUUUGCUUUACUUGGCUAAGAGAUGCAUGGAUUCCUGCUAUGUUUUUAUUGUCUCUGCUCGAAUGUCCCAUCAGGGCAUUUUGCUGUUUCCUUUGCUUGUUUUUUCUAAGCUUCUGUAUGUGGACUUUCACUGCAUAGUUGAAUAUCUGAGUUGCUGGGUGAAUGAUGUUGAAUGUGUUUGAGAAAAUGAACUCUUCAACUGGGAUUUCUCUAAUUUACUGCAUAGCAAAGAAGCUAAGUUCAAUUCAUUUGUAAUCUUUUAGUCGGUUGGUUAAAAUUUUAAACAGAAAAAAAGUCAAGGAAAAAAAAAGAAACAAAAUUUAUAAGAAUGGUUCAAUUUCCAAAUUAACUAUUCUUUUUCAAUAGGUCCUUGUCUAAUCCAUCAAGUGCCUCUAUUGUGAAAUUGUUAUAUGUAAUCUGUUUCAAGAUAUGUUCAGCAUGUAUAUCCAAUCUUUUGGAUUCCUUUCACUGUUAACCUUCUGUCAGUCUCUUUUUUUUCCCGAAAUUUUGCAGGCGGUAGUGAUUGAUGAGGUGGAUUCUUUUCUCUUUAGACCACAUGUUGGAUUGCGUGCCAAAUACCAAGCUGUAUGUUCCUAUUAGCUCUACUUUGGUUAUAUUACAGUUUCGCAACUUGCUGAGCUGGGUUUAUUGCUAGUAUUUUGCUAAUGUUGUGUUCUUUUAAUUCCAAGUUGAUUUGUUUAUAGUUUGUCUAUAUGUUUCAAAGAUUUUAUUUUUUUUGUUAAGUUGAAAUUGAGUUUCAAAGGUUCAUUCUGUAGUUUUUUUUUUUUCUAUAUGAUUUGGAGUUGUACAAAUGUUAAUGAGCUCUUCCCAAAGCAGUUUGUACUUUUUUCUGUUCUAUUUAUCUGAACUUUUCAUAUGUGGGCAAAAUAUUAUUUCUAGUUACUGCAUUUUCUCUUUCUUUUGAUGUAGGAUGUCAUUUAGGAAGUACUUAUUCUUAUGUUUGAUUGGUUUAUUUCUUUCACACAUUUUGGUGAUAUUGUUGUUGUGGUAUUGUUACAUGAGCACCAUAACCUUCAUUUCAAUCUAGUAUGUCUUAUUAAUCUUCUGAUAUGGUUUUUGAGCAAAGACUAGAUCAAAAAGAAUUUAUGUUCUUAGAUGCAACUCUAAUCAGUUUAGAUAUUGUAAGUGUAUGAAAUGCACAUGCAUGUUAUAAUUUGAUGGAUUAUUACGGGCAUUGAGAAGUUUUCUUCUCUGUUAUAGAAUUAUAAUUUUUUAUCAGCAAAAAUGAUACACACAAAAGGAUUAAAUACAGUUUUCUCUGUGUGUCUUAUGUCUUUUUCCGAUGCAAGAGAGUGUACCUUUAUACGAGCCUGUCUUAGAGAUAAUUUCCUUUUAUUCUCCAGGUUAACUUUUUAAGUCAAAUUCUUCUCAGUAAAAAGGGUGAUGGGCCGAAAAUAGCAAAACGUCUGGUGGAUGUUUACUUUGCACUCUUCAAGGUCAAGAGUAUUCUCUUUACUUUAAUUCAUUCUCUUUCUUUACUUUGAAUGUUAUUGUGAUUUUCAAUACAUCUCUCAAAUGAUAAACCUUAUUUUUGUAUAAAUACUGGUUCUACUAUAGCAUAUUCAUAGUACGAGUCCGGCUAUGGUGCUUGUAAAAGCACCAAGGAGUUGGUGCUUGUAAAUUUUUUACCGUUAGAUCUAUACCUUUGAUCAUUUUUACCCAUUAGAUUAUACUAUUCAACCAACCACCCACUCAACCCUAGGGAGCCCACAUUAUCCUGACCGCACAUCCCUUAAUCCAAAGGUCGAAAACUUACAAGCAUCAAUGACUUGGUACUUUUAAAAGCAUAGGAGCUCAAUUCUUCAUACUACUUUCUUAUUGUUUGAGCUUGUGAUUUACCAUUCUUAAUUAUUAUUACCUUUCUCUGCUGAACUGAAUGAUUUCAGUAGUCAAAGAACAGAUCUUAAGUGAAAAGAAGUACCUGAUUCAUUUGAGCUACUUCACAUGGAUGUAUUGACUUGCACAGAUAACAUAAAUAAAGGUGUUUUUGGGAUUUUGUUCUCGAUUCUAAUAUUUUUUGAAGGCCUCAAGCAGUAGUUGAAUGAGAGUUCAAUAAAAAGCAUGUCAUUCUGGAAGUUCAAUUCAUCCAAUAGCACUUCUUGAAGGCCUUCUUAAGAACCAGUUUUAUUAGAAGUUCAAUACAUCUGAAAGGACUGUUUAUUUCUCUGUUUUCUUCCUUUGUUUUUCUAUCAAGAGCGUAUUUAGUAUGUCGUUUGGAUCUAUCACCUUCUUAUUUAUGUACAUGUGUAUUGACAUGGUCUCUGAGUACCUUCUUAUUUAUAUCAGGUACUUAUCGCUGAGUCUCACGGUAAUGAAGUGCAUAAAAAAAGCGAAGAUGACAAAAGAAAUGUCAAAAAGAAGGAAAAAAGAGGGAAAGUUAAAGCGCCCACUUCUUUCCGCAACAGCAAGGCAGAACCUUCACCAGAGUCUAAUGUUGAGAUGGAUUCUCGGCUUCUUUCUGCACUUCUAACUGUAAGUAUGUCAAUACAUGUCUCUUACUUUUCUGAUUAAAUUCAUAUUUUCUAGAAAAAGUAGUCCUUAUAUGUCUUUCCCCUCUGGACUAAAUUAUCCAACAUCCUCCUAUAUCCUAAAGGACUUCAAUGCCAACUUUCUUUGCGAUUGGUUUUGCUUACAAUUGAUAAGCAUAUCUUCUACUCUGACAGAGACAGUCUUCCUGAGAUUCUGGUUGUGAUUUCUUUUGAGUUGUUGGAUUUGAACUGCUUGCCAAUAUUAUUUUCUGGUCUUGAUACUCUUUCUUAUGCAGGGAGUAAACAGAGCAUUUCCAUUUGUUUCAAGUGAUGAGGCCGAUGAUAUUAUGGAGGUUCAAACACCUGUUCUUUUUAGAUUGGUGAGCUUAAGAAUUUUAACACCAGUAUUUAGUUUGAAUCUUAACUUUGUCUUUUAAGCCGUGUGUCAAACAUGACAUAUAAUGAUACUAAUGUUCUUGUAGGUCCACUCUGAAAAUUUCAACGUAGGAGUUCAGGCAUUGAUGCUUCUAUACCAAAUUUCUUCCAAAAAUCAGAUCGCCAGCGACCGUUUUUAUCGUGCCUUGUAUGCAAAACUUCUGAGCCCUUCCGCUGUUAGUUCAUCAAAGGUGAGCUUCCUUCUAUUUGCCUUUUGAUUCAGUUAUUCACUUGUAGUUCAGUCCAAUCAACAGAAAAUUGUCAUGAAAUUUCAAUAAAGCAGCAUGCUUGGCCAUAAGUUACUCUAAAUUGAAAGUUUGCUGGCCUAUUGUGUUAUCUUACCUGAAUAGUGUGCCCAGAAUAUAGAAUGUUAACUGUAUGAGAUGAUCAUGUUCCAUUGUAUGUAUGACCAUAACAGGAUUUUCUAUAAAAAUUGUUUUAAAAGCUGGCUUUAAAUAGAGGCAGUUUGAUGUAUAGGAUUUAGUUUAACAUGUAUUCUUGGAACUAUCAAAUGGUUGCAAUUUAUUUAUUCGAAGGCCUCCAGGAUUAUGUAACUUAAAUAAAUUGAGGACCUGCUAGACGAUUGAUUGAUCAGUGACAAUAAUUGGCUUGUAUUGAAUUUGAAUAUCACCAUUAGUUCAUGGAGUAAUUAGGGAAAUAUCAAACUAUUGCAUUUAGAUCAGUUAUUGUUUCAUUUAUAAUAUAGAAACUUUUAUUAUGCUCUAUUGCAUAAGAAGAAUAGACAGACUAGAAUAUCGUGUGUUUUUGGGCCUUCUUUGCAAGUCCAAAAUAAAUAUAUUAUAAAACAGCCAUAAUAGUAACUGUUUUAGGUUAAGGUUGUUGUUUAUUCCAGAAACUUGUUCAGAGAAAUUCAUGUAACACAGGUAUGCAAGACGAGAUGAAAAUGAGAGCUGAAUAUACGCUGCUGAUAAUCAAGGGAAUGCGAAAAAUUGCAGUGUUAAGUUGACUAAUUUUCAGUUGGUUUCUAUAAGCUAAUAUGCCCUGUGGAAAGUAAUCUAAUCUGUACAUUUCUGAUCGGACUGCUCUAUAUCGUUGUUUGACAUGUGUCAUGUUUGAUUUCAUUUUUUGCAAUCCUGAUUGUUGCCUUCAAUGGUUCAGCCAGAAUUGUUUCUUGGGCUAUUAGUGAAAGCGAUGAAGAAUGAUAUAAACUUGAAGCGAGUAGCUGCCUUUUCCAAGCGCCUUCUGCAGGUUAUUGAUGAUAUACUUUUGAUGUCUCUUCUUGUACUUAAUGCUAUUUUUGAAUAUUCUGGGAGGUGCUCAUUUUAGAAUUACAGCUUGAGGUUAGACUUUCUCUUACGAUCAUUAAUAACUAUUUUUGAACUUAUAUUUUCUAGGUAUGUUCACCUUGGGACUAAAUUUCUAUUACAUUUCAAUAGCAGCUAGUCAGUUAGUGACUUUUAUCAUGUAUGAGAAACUUGCAAUUAUGGAGCUCAAGUAAUUAGAUUUUGGCCUCUUUUCAGUUUGUAGUGUUUAUUUUAUUUUAUUAGUCUUAUGCUGCUCGAAGACUAUCUAGGUAACUUGUCACACCAAUUGGUUUGAUGUUAUAAUAAUUUUUAUGCCAUUUUAAGUAUAUAUAGCAUGUGACCAACAAUGACAGUGUUAUUGUAUGCAAUUCUACUUUUUGAUUCAUUUUAUUUGAAAUUCUAUCGAGCAAUAAAAUUCUUGUAGGUCUUUCUUCAUCAAAUUGCCACAAGUUAAUUAAGAAUAUUUUUGUUGGUAUAUUACUUAUGCAUUCCCUAAUCAAAUCUGUAUCUGAACAGGUUGCACUUCAGCGGCCGCCUCAGUAUGCUUGUGGAUGCCUGUUCAUACUCUCUGAAGUUCUAAAAGCAAAGCCACCUCUAUGGUAAGCUGUUUGAUAAAAUUAUUCUUUUUAACGGCACCAAAUUAAUGUUAGAUGGUAGACCGAGGGCCUGUUUGGCCUAUCUAUAGCCCUUGCAGUAGUGUUAUUCUAGCAAAGCUGUUCAUAGAAGCACUGACAACUAUUUCUUUAAAAUCUACUCAACAUCUUUCAACUGCAUAAAAAACAGAAGAUGUAAGUUGGAGGUCUUGCUUUUGAGAUGGCUGCAAAACUCAGUUUUGGUGUCAGUUUUUGGUCCUUCUAAAAUGAAAUGUAUCUGCUGUGUCACCAGUUUCAGUAGUUUAGAUUUAUUGUUUCAGGUAUUUGCUACUUUUCAUUCUUUAGAAAAGUAUAGAGACUUGGAGCAGUCAUAUUACAGCUCAAUUUUGCAUCCUAUUGUUAUAUUAGACUUAUGUUUCAUGUUACUUUUGUAAAGAACAAAGCUAAUUUUCAUAUUACUUUUCACCAUAGAAGUAAAUACGCAAGAAGUAUCAUAAAUGAUUCAUAAACUGAAUGCUACUAUAAGCUCAGAGAGAUCAUUUCAGGUUUGCAUUGUGAAACUAUCCUUCUUUAAACCCUUUGUGACUGGAAUCAAAGUGCUUUCAGUUUGUUCUGGAGCUAGUCUUAGAUCAGCAUCUGCCAUGGCUGAAAUGUUUCUUUUUGGAAGUUUUGGUUGAAACUGUGAACUAGGACUUUGAGGUUCUGAAGAUUAUUUCAGUCCACAGCAAAAGCUCCAGAAGUGUUGUGUACUAAUCCGGAGUGAUAGUUCUGAUGCAAAUUGCGUUUAAAUUUUCAGGACAAUGCUGCUCCAGAAUGAGUCUGUUGAUGAUGAUCUUGAGCACUUUGAGGACAUCAUAGAAAGCCCUGAGGACUUGGCUGUUGCCCCGUCUGGCAACUCAAUAAAUUCAGAUGAACUUCCUACUUCACUUGGUGGCAAAAAAUUGGCGGACUUGGUUCAUGACGAGGAGGAUCAUGAUUUAGAGGUUGAGGUUGGUUGUGAAAAUGUAAGCGAAGGUAACAGAGAAGAAAAUCACACAACCAAUGAGGGGUCAACACUACCUGUUGGGUAUAAUCCGCGGCAUAGGGAACCUUCUUUCUGGUAAUUAUUCUGUCUUUCAUCACUCUCUGUUUGUCUAGAUCUUUUCAAUAGCUGAGUAAAUUUCGCGCAAACUGGACCAGUUUUUUGAUGGAGUCUCGUCCCAAUUUACUGGGCUGAGCCCGUUCUCAAAAGUGUGGCCCUAGAAAAUCGUGGCCUGGCUCAUGUUUUCAGUUUCUUUAACUGACCUUGCCUGGUUUUUGGACUGGGCUAGUGCUUAAAUUCUAUAAAUUUCCUGUCCGGACAAAUUUUACCUCACCAGAUACCUGGCGCAGCUUAGUCUUUUACUCUAAUCUAAUCGUGUCACUUACUAUCAGUCAGAAAAUAUUACUCACAUUAAAAAGAGAAUUAUAUUAUACAUGCCCUUAUAUAAUCAUUUAUUUACAUAUGCAUAUCCCUGCAAAAGCUGAACCUCAAUGUCCCUUCAAAAGCUUAAUUUCUUGUGUAUUUGCUCUUGUACCUAAGAAAAUACUUGUGGAGAAACUUUCUAAUGCAAAACCAGCUUCUUUCAUGAAAUGAAUGACUCCCCAGCCGGAGGGUACGAAACAGCACUAUCAUGGGGUAUAUAUGAAAGUGCAGAUUGCACAAUGGUAUGUAUGCGAAUUGAUGAUUUUGUAGGGAUAUAUAUGUUAAAUUCUCCCCAGUACAGGUCACAAUCUAUGAUUAUAAUCUGAGGUUCUAUUCUCCCUUCUUUCAGUGGCAAGCCUAGUGAGCAAAGUACUAACAGAUGCUUGAAAAUUGGCCGUCUCUUUCUUGCCAACUUAUAAGAGAUAAGCUUGGCUGAUAAGUUUUUUGCUUUAUUCUUUUCCUUUUUUUGACAGCAAUGCCGACCGUGCAAGCUGCUGGGAGCUGACUGCAUUGGCUUCGCACGUGCACCCAUCUGUGGCAACUAUGGCCCGGACACUUCUCUCCGGGGCCAAUAUUGUUUACAACGGAGAUCCUCUCAAUGACCUAUCACUCACUGCUUUUCUUGACAAGUUCAUGGAGAAGAAGCCGAAGGUAAACAGGAAAGCUGAGGGCAUAUGGCACGGUGGUUCCCAAAUUGCGCCGGCACGAAAGGUUUGUCUCUUUUUCAAAACAUUUUUUGAUCAUAUUGAUCCUUUGUGCAGCAGUGUUGAUACUUGAUUCGUUACCCAAAUUCAUUGUUUCAAGAUUCUAAUUCGUAAAGAGAGAAAAGAAAACAAAACAAAGAUUUUUGUAGAAUUUUAUCCUUGUUUCAACUCCCUUCAAAAUCCAAUUGAAGCCCAUAUGCCCCACCUAUUUGCAGAGUCUACCAUUUAUCCUUUUUUUUUUCUUGGAACAUCAACCAACUGCAUGAGGUUGACAUGCUUUAGUACUUUUUAAUUAGAGGAUUGAAUAUGAUUCACAUGUAAAUUGAGAGAGGUGCAUCUAUAAUAUACAAAGAGAGCUUAUUGACUAGUCACCUUCUUUUUCUUUUUUCUUUUUUUCUUUUUCAGUUGAUGUAUUAGAGAGAAUUUAGUUUUUUUUUUUUUAAUUCCUUGUAGCUAGUUUUAUUUAUGUGUAUUAAGCUCAAUAAUUUCAUUGGAUAGUUUCCUUCCAUAACUUCAUUUAAUAUGUCUAUAUCUUCUUAGAUCCCUCGAAUAACUUUCCUCUUCGUCCCUGUUUGUUCACAAACCAAUCUUGGGAACAAUUGUUGAUAUAAGCACUUGGUUUUGAUAUCGAGUUUUGAGUUUUCCAUUGCGGAUGCUCUAUCAUGUGAUCUUUCUCGAUUCUUUGGCUACUGAAUAAACUUAUUGGAAUUUUCAUUGUGACUAAUCCUUCUCGAGUUAUUUAAAUUAAUGAACUGAUUUUUUUUUUUUUUUCUGCAGCUCGACCUGAGCCACCAUCUCAUCGGGGAUGAGAUACUGCAGCUCGCGGAGGAUGAAGUGCCACCGGAAGACGUCGUCUUCCACCGAUUCUACAUGAACAAGACCGGCUCCUCCAAGAGGCUGAAAGCCAAGAAGCAGAAGGCGUCGCUCGAUGACGAGGACGCCGACCUGUUAUUGGACGGGGAUGAUGAGAGUGCCGAAGAGAUUGACCGCAUGCUGGGAUCUGGGCGCAGUACGGUGGAAGAGCCCGAGGGAGAGUACGAUUACGACGAUCUUGACCAUAUCGCCGAGGAGGAUGNAAUAACUUUCCUCUUCGUCCGUGUUUGUUCACAUACCAAUCUUGGGAACAAUUGUUGAUAUAAGCACUUGGUUUUGAUAUCUGAGUUUUUUGUUGCGGGUGCUUUAUCAUGUGAUCUUUCUCGAUUCUUUGGCUACUGAAUAAACUUAUUGGAAUUUUCAUUGUGACUAAUUCUUCUCGAGUUAUUUAAAUUAAUAAGCUGAUUUUUCUCUGCAGCUUGACCUGAGCCACCAUCUCAUCGGGGAUGAGAUACUGCAGCUCGCGGAGGAUGAAGUGCCGCCGGAAGACGUCGUCUUCCACCGAUUCUACAUGAACAAGACCGGCUCCUCCAAGAGGCUGAAAGCCAAGAAGCAGAAGGCGUCGCUCGAUGACGAGGACGCCGACCUGUUAUUGGACGGGGAUGAUGAGAGUGACGAAGAAAUUGACCGCAUGCUGGGAUCUGGGCGCAGUACGGUGGAAGAGCCCAAGGGAGAGUACGAUUACGACGAUCUUGACCAUAUCGCCGAGGAGGAUGAUGACGACCUGCUCGGAGACGGUAGUGAUGCGGAGGCGGGCCCGGCCCCCAAUCAAGAUCGUGAUAAAAAUGACGACGAUGACGACGAAGAUGAUAUUGAUGACGAUGAUGGUGGUCUUGCUUUGUGGGAUGAUGUUGACGAGGAGCACAAUAAUGGCGGCGGCGGCAGUGACGACGAUGAUGAAUAUGGUGAUGCUGACGGAUCUAAUAAAAAGAAAAAGACCGAGGGAAAGAAGCAGAAACUUGGGGGGCGUAGUCGCGCAUCGCCUUUUGCUAGUCUGGAAGAUUAUGAACAUCUGAUGGGCGGGGAACAGGAAAAGACGAAUAAAUUGAAGAAGAAGACAGAGAAGUCAAAAUCGCAAAAGAAGAGGAAGAGAUCGAAAUGAGGAUAAUGUCGAAGAAAUUUGAUGUGUCAUCGUACUUAUGACUGAUUUACCGACCUUUGGGAUCGACACAACGAGAGCAGUGAAGCGACGGCGACAGCAACGACAAGUAACACUCCUUGCGGAGAUCACGUGCGAGUGAUUCCAAAGUAAUUUGCAAUUUAGAAGGUUUAAAUCACAAAUUUGUUUUUCAAAAUGCGCGGCCAUUUGCGGAACUCUCCUACAGUGUAAUCUGUGGUGGCAAUUUUUGUAAUUUUCGGUCGAACUACGGAUAUUUAAACUGGAAAGUAAAUUCCUUCCCAGUUCCUAUAUAAGUUUAAGACGAUGCUGCUGAGUGUUCACCGUUUCAACUUCGUUGAUGUUGAUACUUUGAUGUUCUUCAAUUCCCUUAGUUGAAUUUUUGUACACAAAAACAAAAAAAAGAAAACGGCCCAGAUGAAUAGAGGGUGAUAGAAUCAAAGUCGCUUAUGAGAGCGAAAGAUCCAAGCUUUUAAACCCUUGUUUGGUUGGGGGUUAAGGGGUGAAAUAACCCCUUAACCCCCAUUUUAUCCGCAAACACCCAAAAAAUAGGUGGGGUUAGCUAACCUCACCUAACCCCACCUCAAAUAAAUUAUUCCGGAUUAGCUAACCCCACUUAACCCCACCAAACUUUAACCAAACAUUAUUUUUUAUUCAUAAUAACCCACUAUCUUUCUUAUCACACCUACUCUAACCAAUCAUUAUCCUUCUUUAUCAAUCAUUAUCUUCUUAUCCCACCUACCCAACCAAAUACUAUUUUUUAUUAUUCUAAACUAACUCCAACCCCCAACCAAACACAAAAAAAAUUUUAACUCCACUUUAAUCCUGAACUUAACUCUAUUCCUAGAAUAGCUACUUUUUCCUUAACCCCGAACCAAACGGAUUAUAAGUAAUUGUUAUUGCCACGAGUACCCUAAGUCCCCCAAUAAGAUACUGCCAUGUGGACAUUGAAGGGUUUAUUUGAUUCACUUAUUUUAGACUCUAAAAUCGAAGUAAAUUUGCUGAUUUUGAUAAUUAUUUUUUUUUUACUCUGGAAUAAAAAUAACUCAAUCUAAUUUAUUAGCCUGAUCCAAUUUUAAAUUUUAGAUUGGUUUAUUUUAGAGCAAAUUACUCAAAAUACUCUCCCUUCAUCAUUCUUUUUAUUUUAUCAAAACUCUCUUUUAAAGUUCUAACAAAAUAAAAAUUACAACAAAAUAAUGAAAUUUUAUAAAUAUCCUUGUCUACUGUAGAGAGCUAAGUAAAUUAUUAAUAAUUACAAUUUUUUUUUUGCUGUAUUUAAUCAAAUAAGAUAUAUAUUAGUAUUUUUUAAUUGUAUGUGUGAAAAUGAAUUUUUUUUAUAAAUAAUCCUAUCGAUUUUUAUAAUUAUAAAAAUAAUUUUUUUAAAAAAAUAAUUAUAAAAAUAGACCUCUAAAUGCGGUGAAUGAUUUAUCGCAUUCAUAAUUACUCAUUAGGAGCAGAAAAAGAAUAAAAGUAGUGAACCAUUUACCGCUUUUAUCAUCAUAGAAAUAUAAAAAAAAGGGGAAAAAAAAAAAAAGGAAUGAAUGGUUCACCGUUUUUAUAGGACCAUAUUUAUAAAUAAAAAUUUAACAGAUUUAUUUUUAAAAUAAAAUUUUAGGAAAAAAUUAUUGCACUAAAAAACCCUGCGAAAAUGAUGGGCCACGCGGACCACAAGUAGCCUUUUUUUAAAAAAACAAAAAACAAAAAAAAACAAAAACGUUAUCUUUGACCCGUUGACCGGAUCGGGGGAGGGGUCAGCAGUUUAUUUCCCUGCAUUAUUCCAUGGGCACGUGCAUCACCCUCCGACGAUGAGUGAAAAUAAAAAAAAAUAUAGAAAAAAUAUAAUUUGUCUCGAAUUCGUCUUUGACCAGUUAAAUAAAUAGAGCGGGAGAUGAGAGUUUUUUUUUUUUUUUUGAUUUGUUUCGAUCCGUCAAAAUUUUACGUUUUCGUCUUGAUCAAUCCCGAAUAAAGAGGUAAUGAGGGUUAAAAAUAUGAUAAAAAUUUAUCCACUCCGAAUUCGUCCCGAAUGAUUGAAUGAAUGAGUAAAUAAGGUCGAAAAUAGAAUUAAAAUUUACCUGCUCCAAAUCUACCCCCGAUAAGAAAAGGCGUAGGAGGUGGGAGACCCCUCCCGCGGCCCUGCCUCUGAAUUCAUUCCGUUUGCAUCCCUAUGCACGAUCAUCGGCCGAGGCUCCCCAAACACCAAACAGCCGACCGGCCAAUCCACAUCCGCCACGUGUUGGCCGCCUUCGGAUCCCCAAUUAAGCACGGCCCCGUUUGGCCUCUACUUGAUAUGCAGUCGAGGUCGUGUAGUAAUGCGAGCUCCGAAAUUUUCUGUUCUGAUACAAUAUUAAAUAAUAUAUAUAUUGUCUUUUUUUCGCCUUUAUUAUUUUUCUUUCUCUUUAACCCCUCACUUCAACGUAUGGUACACAUUUAAAUCAUCUGAGAUUAAAUCUCUAAAAAUACGCGCACUCGGAGCCCUAUCCUACUACACACCGACUGAACUAGAGGCUGGUGUGAAAAGUUUAAGUUAUUAGAGAACAGUUAUGAGAUUUACACUGUAUAUACAAAAUAACAUUACAUAAACUAUGUGCACAUAAAAUUAUAACAUUCAUAAAAUAUGAGAGUAUAUUGUAAGAUUUACAUAGAUAAAAAUGAAUGAUGUUCGUCCUUCACUGUUUUAACUAAUAAAAACUUAUUAAUUUUCCGUUACAAGUAUUUUUCAUGAGGCAAUAAUAUUUUUUCUAAUAAUAAUAAUCAUCAUCAUGUAUUUAAUGGUAAAUAUGAAAAUUAAAUUUUAAAAACAUGUAGGAGUCAUUCUUAUGUAUGUAUGGAGAGAAAAAUAAAAGUAACAGAAAACAAUGUAUUAUUUGACUAAUAGUUUAAGAAUUACUAAUAAAUAAUUUACCAAAACUUAUUGUUUUUUAAAGCUCAGGUACCUGAUAUGGCAUAUAUUGAUAUAUAGUUCAUGGAAGGUGCAUAGAUUUUUUACCACUACAAAAUUUAGUAGAACAUUGAAGGAUCAAUGGAGGAUUUUUUUUUUUUUGUUUUUUACCCUAUAAAAGUAGUUUAUUUGCUAAAUUCUCUUGAAUUUGAAUCUCAUUUAUCAACAAUACCUCUCUCCUACCAUGUUAAUGCCAAGUCCAUGAAACAAAAUUUAUAUUUUUUUUUCAAAAAAAGAUAAUAUUAAUUUUGGAAAGUUUUAAAGAAAAAAAUGAAACAUGCAUUCACCAUAUUCCAAAGGUAAAUAGAAGGAAAAGAUAUUUUAAGUAGAUCAUAAAUGUUGAAUUAUUAGCCACAUUUAUUAAGAAGGAAAAAACACAACUUGUAAUGGUUCAUUAUUGAGAUGUCGAAAUUGUUAAUUAUGUUAUUAUUUUGUUAGCAAUUUGUCAAAAAUAGAAAGCUACUUCCCUUUGAUAGGACCAAAAAAAAGAGAGUAAAAGAUAUAAUUAUUUAAUUAAUAAAAAGUCUUUAAUUCAAAGCUAAUAACUAAAUAAAUAAUUUUAUAUCUUUUGCCCAAUAUUCAGGACAUAUUUUACAUGCAUAAUGCAUAAUAAAUAAAAUAAUUCAUUAUGUGAAAAAAAAAAACUCUUUCACACACUCUUUCACUCUCUCUCUCUCUCUCUCAAUUUUUAAAAAAUAAAAGAAAAAGCUGCUUCUUUUGUUUAACACUCAAAUGUGCACAAUGGUCCCAAUUAUUAUAACAAGAAUAUUUUGGAUUUAUUGUUGAGGUUUGAUGCAAUUUUUAUGUUGCACAAGCUAUCAUUGACCCUUAAAUAGUUAAGAAAUAUACUAUUUGUACGCCCAAAAUAAAGUGUGAAUUUUACAUCCAUCAUCUUAGAAUUUAGAAAAUAUUUAAAUAUUUUAGUAUAAAAGAAUUGACAAAUUUUAUACCUUCUGUAAUUUUUUUUUUGAUAUACAAAUAGCAUUUCUCAAUAAGUAAACUUCUGUUGUGGCUCGUACCGCACUGUAAAAAGAAAAAUUUUAUUACCCAGUCGGAAUCUAAGAAUAAUACAAGUGAUAUUAGACGGUAGAUGAAAUACGUCUUACUAAAUCUCGUAUGAUAGAAAUUUUAUUUUAUUUUUCCUUCCGAAUCUAUUUCAAACUUAAAGGAUCAUGUAAUUUGUUUCCCAAUAUUAGCGGUGAUCACACACAUAUUCAGUCAGAGUAUCGCAUAGAAGUAUGUCGUGGGACCCACACCACGACCUGCAGAGACCUUCACUUAGGGAUACAAAUUGGGCGGAUUCGGGGCGGGAGGGGCUCCUAUGUUCUUGGCUGGUCAAGACAGAUUCGGAACAGUUUGGAUUUUAUUUUUUUUUUCUUUCCAUUUAACGACAGCGACUUUUUGGCAGAUCGUGAUCAAUCAAAAAAGGGUUCAAGAUGAAUUAAUUUUUUUUUAAUAUUUUUUUUACUCAUACUUACCGCUCUAUUCAGAAUGAAUAAGAUCAAAAUCUCCACCAGCCCAGAUCCAUUUGCAUCCCUAUCUUCGCUGCCACUCUCAUAAUGGGAAUUUCUUGUGUGGACCCGGUCAACCAGUGUUUGUCUUGCACCUACCAAUCAGGGAUUAUACCAUUCAAAUUUUAGAAAAAUAUGAGUGAUAUUCAAAUCGAUAUUGACAAAAUAGUGCGUCUGAAUAGGACGCGCCUUUCUAAAAACAAAAUUAGAUAAUCUCCACAUAAAUUUCUCACUUGACUUACAUUGCAAUUGCUUUUUUUCUUUACCUUCAACACUAAUCAUGGUUGAACUUUUGCUAUAAAAAAAAAAAAUCGAAACCUCAAAGUUUAAUUACUUUAUUUUAAUUUUAAUAUUAAUUUUAUUAUAAAAUAAAUAUGUUAUAAGGUUAUUAUAAUUAUUAUAGGGUUAGCACAACCUUUUCUCUCAAAUUAAAAAUUUUACCUUAAGAUAAAUAAAAGCAUGACUUAAUGAUUUAAAUUGGAAAUUGCAUUUAAAACCAUCACCAAAAAAAAAGCUAACCGGUCCACAGCUUACGCGGUGCACGUGGUCCACGAAAAAAUCGUUCAUCUCUUCUCUCUCUCACCUCACCAGGCACCGCAUGCUCCUACGAAUCCGGUCCACAGAUCACGUGGUGCGCGUGGUCCACGCAAAAAUAUUCCAUCCUCUCUCGGUCUUUCCACGCACUCACGCUCACACGAAAACCAAUGGAGAAAUUUUUUCGCCCACGAGAAAAUAAAAAAUAGAUAUAAAUAGAAAAUACAUUUAAAAAUUUUAAAAAAUCAAAAAAGGGGAAAUAAAAUUAGGCGAAAAGGGUUCCCACAAAAAUACGCUCACCUUUUUCGUUCCCCCCCCUCACCCACGAAGAGAGAGAAAGGAGAGAGAGAGAGAGAGAGAGAGAGGGAGAGAGAGGGAGGGAUCUGCGCGAUCAUGGCGAGAGGAGGCGCGAUCUAGUCGAACGUANUGGAAAUUGCAUUUAAAACCAUCACCAAAAAAAGCUAACCGGUCCACAGCUUACACGGUGCACGUGGUCCACGAAAUAAUCGUUCAUCUCUUCUCUCUCUCUCCUCACUGGCUCACCACGCACCGCACGCUCAUAGAAUCUGGUCCACAGAUUACGUGGUGCGCGUCGUCCACGCAAAAAUAUUCCAUCCUCUCUCGGUCUCUCCACGCACUCACGCUCACACGAAAACCAAUGGAGAAAUUUUUUCGCCCACGAGAAAAUAAAAAAUAGAUAUAAAUAGAAAAUAAAUUUAAAAUUUUAAAAAAUCAAAAAAGGGGAAAUAAAAUUAGGCGAAAAGGGUUCCCACAAAAAUACGCUCACCUUUUUCGUUCCCCCCCCUCACCCACGAAGAGAGAGAAAGGAGAGAGAGAGAGAGAGAGAGAGAGGGAGAGAGAGGGAGGGAUCUGCGCGAUCAUGGCGAGAGGAGGCGCGAUCUAGUCGAACGUAGAGAGAAAGGGAGGGGUUUCUCUUCUCCGAUUCCGACUCCUCCGACACUCUCCGCUGCGGCCCCCCGAUCGAUUGCCUCCUCGUGCUCCCGGUGUCGGUUUCGGUUGUUGGGUGGGUGGGGGAGGGGGCAGGAGAGAUUGGAUUCGAAAACCCUAGAAUCGAGUAGCGCCGCUCUUGUUUUCCAGGUGCUCUCGCGAUUGACGUUUCGGUCAUGGUUUUGUGUAAAUUUGUGUUAAUUCAUGUAGGGUUCCUUUUUUGCUGCUGAUGAUUCAUUCGAAUUGGAAUCUAGGGUGCGGUUGAAUUGGAAGGGGGGGGGAUUGAAUUUUUAAGGUUUCUUGUCGAAGUGGUCGUGUUUGGAUGAGAUUUACAUUACUAAAUUAAGCUUCUGAUGUAGCAAUAACUUUUUUUUUCUUAGUGCUAAAUAACCUUAGAAAGAGUACUAUGUAGUAAUAAUUUGAUGCGGAAGUGUUAAGUUUGGUGUAUUUGGAAAUUGGAGCAAGGAAGAAUUUAGCUAGAUUUUAUUUUUGGGUUUUCAUAGAAGUUAAUUCCUGUGUAUAUAGCUGCUUGAAUUAAAUGGUUUGAAAUUACGAGUGAUUAAUAUACAGAAUAUGCAGUGGUACGUGUAUUCAUAUAAUUCGAUCUGAAGGAGAGAACUGAGUUGAGACAUUUAAUAGCAGAAGAGAAGGAAAUUGAUUAUGUAAAGACAAAUUCUCAUAACGGCAAGACCUAUGAGGCAUUGGAUUAUUGUAAUUGCUCUCUUAUGGAAAAGAAUUUUGCAAUGUAAUUUUGGAAGAAAGAAAUAGUAGAUGAUACCUGAAAAUAUAGGCUGAGAAAAGAAAAUUAAACAGAACUUGUGCCAAAAAAAGGGUUAAAAUGAAGCACUACAAUAGGAGGAAAAAAGGCGGAGGGGGUGUAGAAAAAAAAGGGAGAAGAAAGAACAGCACAACUAAUUAGUAUGAUGAGGAUUUGUUUUUUCAAACCACAAUAAUUGAGUAGGGAAUCGACAGAGAUCGCUUUUUUUAGUUGCUCGCGUGAUUGCGGUUCCCAUUAAUAGUUCCAUCUAAAUUAUAGCGGCCUGCAGGGGAGUUGGGUGGGUUUAGUGUACUGUCUUACUCUGAAUAUUUCUUAUGGAGGAUGAAGCUAAAGUAGAUUCUUGGAUGCAAACAUGCGGUCAAAUUUUGGCUUUUGAAACUUUUAGAAAAUGAGUUGCUGUUACUCCAGCUAUGAUCAUUCAUCCAUCAGCUGAAAAAGCUACACCACAAAGGAAGUUGCAGGAUGCAACUUUUCUGUUUUCACAUGAGACAUUUUCGCAUAUUUCUAAACUUAUAUUGAGCAAUUGCCUUGCAACAUGUUUAAGGUGUCAAAAAAGCUUAUUGUCUCACUGGUCUUUCAAGUUCUGCUCUUUUUUUAACUAAUAAGCUUGAGCUGCUUCAUUUAUCAAAAUAGCUGAACUUAAGCCAGAAUUUCAAUCUGUUAGCGAAUGGACUGAGCUUAUGUUGGGCUCAACUUCCUCGAGCUUUAUUCCAAAAAGCUCAAUUUUAUAUAGUAGUGGUGGUAUUUUGCGUGCCUACAACAGAACAACUUGUCAUAUUGGUUAUGGACAGUGUUUGUUGAAUUUAGUACUUUACAUUUUGUUGUUUGCUGAUGCUAAGUUUAUGCUUUAUAUUCAUAGCUAUGCUUCAUUACUGAUUGUUGGGUAAUCUAUCUUUUGUUUGAUCAGAUUCUUCUAUCAUCCCAGCCUACUAGUCCUUGGCGCCGAUAACUUUUGGUCAGCUUUAUUGCAAGUUUUGCAUCGCAAGAGGUUUUUGAUUCUUCCGUGAGAUAAAUGUCCAUUUUCGCUCAGUUUUAGCUUAGCCAACUGUGGAGGAGUGAACAGACGCUGUUUGCACUUUACGUUUCUUGUGAUAAGCAGUUAUAUCAUUGAAGUCAUUUAUGUGGCUUCUUUACAAGUGAGUCUAACAUUUGGGCAUCAGUUCACCUCCAUGGAUUUGCCAAAUUCAUUGUGGAAUGUCUUUUUGGAGGGAAAAGAAAGAAUGUCAAAUUGGAGUAUUACCUCAUCAGCUUUUCAACUUAUUUAUGCAUCCUGGAAAUUUUAGGAGUGUGAAGGUUGUUAAUGAUGUCCUUUGAGAGAGAACAAUGGAACAUGAAUCUGAGAAAAGAUUUCCCGCCUGUCCUAAAGAUUACGAAUUGUAUGAAGAAAUCGGAGAGGGCGUUAGUGCUACAGUUCGCAGGGCGCUCUGUAUUCCACUCAAUGAAAUUGUCGCAAUUAAAAUUCUUGACCUUGAGAAGUGCAAUAAUGAUCUAGUAAGUUGGACUUUUUACUUUUCUACGUUAUGGUAGUUUAUGUUUCAUGCUUUAAUAAAUUUUUCUAUUUUGUUGCGUUCUUUAAUAUUAGUAUUCAUGAGAUUUACUGCUUGAUAUGUUUUCUGCAAUAUUAUUUCUUUGAUAAAAUUGUACUUGGAAGUUUUUCACAAUCAAGGCGAUGCUUGCUCUGGAGUUGGUUGCUUUGUAAAUUCUGCAUUCAAAGCCAGAGAUUUUUUUUUUUUCUGAUUGAGUAGAUGAUAGUAUGAUACAGUAGAUUGCUUUAUUCUCAGAAUGCCAUCAGCUGAUUAGCCUGAUUUGUUGUUUAUGAUUAUUUAUUUACGGAAGGCAAGCUUUCUCUGUGUUUAUUCAUUUUUGUGCAUGGAUAAAGCAGAAGUCGUGUUCUUUAGAUGCCGAGGUAAAAUGUACUGUUUGUCCAUGUACUAUUCUAGGAUUGCGACUUAGUCCGUGAACUUCCGACUUGCACAUUUUAGUCCUUACACUUUCUUAUAUGUGCAUUUCCAUCCCUGGCUGUCAAAAAAAAUCUAAAAUUUUAUUUUAAAAUCAUUUUACCCUAUCUCCUAUAAAAUGAAGAUUUAUUUAAGCAUACUUGAAGCAAGGUUAAACAGGACAGUUAUUGGAAAAGUCACAGAUAGUCAGAAUUUUUUUUGCGUCCUAUGAGUAAUUUCAGGGACUAAGAGGUUUAACUAAAAAGGUUUGGGACCACAUCCCAUCCCUUCAGCAUGGAAUAAUACAAAGACUACCUGUACAUUUUUUCUCUCAACAAAAUAUCUAGAAAUUCAUUUAAAUUAGUGGUCCUGAAACUCAUCUUUCUUUCUAUGAAACUGUAUCCUUUUAGAUACAUCACUUAUUUGUUGCAUUACCAUGUCUUUGUAAUACUUAUUUUGUUUUUUUUUUUUAUUUUAUAGGAUGGGAUAAGAAGGGAGGUUCAAACAAUGAGCCUGAUCGAUCAUCCGAAUGUUCUUCGAGCACAUUGCUCUUUCACAUCUGGUCACGACCUUUGGGUUGUGAUGCCUUACAUGGCAGGGGGAUCGGCCCUUCACAUUAUGAAAUUUGCUUACCCAGAAGGUUUUGAGGAGCUGGUUAUCGCAACUCUUUUGCGUGAGGUCCUUAAAGCUCUCGUAUAUCUCCAUUCUCAUGGGCAUAUCCACAGAGAUGUUAAGGUAAUGUUUAGUAAUCUACCUUUUGUAUUUUGUAGAGUCUUUCAAGAGCAGCAGUUUAACAUGUCUGUAAUGGUAACAACAAUUUUAAUAUGAUAUCAUACACAUCUACCAUAAUAUAUGUAAAGCCAAGGAAGUGGCUUUAACUUUUCAAUUUUUGCCACGUUUCAUGCUGUUUUUUUAAAUAUGUGAAUCUUUCUUUCAUGAUUCACUAGAAUGUGACAAAUGGUGCAGGCUUAUUUGCAAUCUAGUUGGAGCUGUUUAUUUACUAUUGUGAAUAGAAUUUAAAGUUAGUCCACUCCUACAGAUAGAAUUUCAAUAUAAUGUAUUCUUAGCUAUAUAAACCUAGUUCAAACAGAACAAUAAAUUAUCAAAUGCCAGUUCAUCUUGAGUUCAACGUCUAAAUCUUGUUCUUUUGGCCGCUCAUCCUACAUGCACAAAAAUCAAAUAUUCCUGCAUUAUCUUAUUUGUUAUCAAAUUUAAUAUCUUUUUAAUUCUUUUAUUUUUAUGAUGCAUGGCUAUUUUACUGCCUCUUGCAUCCUUCAGAUGGUAAUAGAGGCGGUAUAUAGUAAGUGUGAAGCUAUUUCAUUUGUAAUGAAUUUAAAGUUGUCACCUUAAUAUACUGUCCAAAACUUUUCUCUAGAGUCUAGUAUUAAACUUUUCAGUUAUGAACACAAUUUUCCUGUUCUCUCUUUCUUCAGACUUGUGGCUAUAAACUAGAGAUCCCCUGGUCAUAAGAUUAUCCUUUUCAUACCAUAAGAUUGUUGAAACAAUCCAAAAAAAAGCUUGGUGUAUUGGUUCCUAUGACCUCCUGUUAUGUUAUCAGGUGGACUGAGAAAGGGGAAUUCUUUUCUCCGUUUUUUUGACAUUUCUGACCAAGUUAGUCUGAAACAUCUGAAUACUGAUUGCGUCCCUUCAUUCUCUGUUUGAAAAUUUAUAGAUGCCCUAUAUCCUACCAAAGUGUUGGUAGCCUUUUUGCCACCUCAGAUACUUUUCUGCUUAUCCACUGUCGCACGUACUCAACCUAUCUCAAAUUUCCAAGAAUCUCUAGCAUAUGUAUGUUUUCUUUCAUUGUAUCAUGUUAUUAAGCCAUUUGUACAGAGAAUAUAUUUAGGGAAGAUUUAUUUCUAGGAUUAUUAGAGAUUAUUAUAGUUGCUUUAAUCUAGUUUUAAAUUAGACUAUUUAUUUAUGUUUUGUAGAUGUUAGAGCAUGCAUACAUAUAUUCCUGCUCCACUUUAUAUGCUAACAGGAACUUCUAAAUUUCUGAACUUUCCAGGCUGGGAAUAUACUGAUUGAUGGCAAUGGAGCUGUUAAACUAGCAGACUUUGGGGUCUCAGCUUGCAUGUUUGAUACUGGUGAUAGGCAGCGUUCCCGAAAUACAUUUGUCGGAACUCCCUGCUGGUGAUUGCUGCAACUUAAAAUUUGCAUAUCUUUUAAUUAAUUACAGAUUUAGUCAAUGAAGUGCAAUUCCAAUUUCAGUUUCCUUCGCAAAGUUUGACUUCCAUGUUAAAUUUCAUCCACAGAGUCUCAACUUUAACAAUUUAGUUACUGAAGUUUGAACCCAAUCUUUAUUAAGCCCUCAAAGUUUCUAUUUUGACGAAGGAAUUAAUUGUAUUGCAUAACAAACUUCAGGGACUAAAAUUUGUUAAUAACCCUUUUUUUCUAUUUCCAAUCUGUAUUGCUGUCCUUCCGGCAGUUUUGUUGAUCAUUAUGACAAUUUUGUUUGCAGGAUGGCUCCUGAAGUUAUGCAGCAAUUGCAUGGUUAUGACUUCAAGUGAGUGGGUGACUAUCUAAUUGCGACAUCAUGAGUUUAUUGAACAAGAAGAUGUUCAAUAUCUGUUUGACAAUAAAAUUUUUCACCUUUUUUCCCCUCCCCUUUUCUUUGUGUAUUAUAAACAGAGCAGACAUUUGGUCAUUUGGCAUAACGGCGUUAGAGCUUGCCCAUGGUCAUGCUCCAUUUUCUAAGUAUCCCCCAAUGAAGGUGUGUUUCAAGAAAUGACCACCUAAAGCACAUUUGUCAUGUUACAUCUCUUUUUCCGGUAACAGCAAUAGGCAUGAUGAUUUGUCAUUUUAGGUCUUGCUUAUGACGUUGCAAAAUGCACCACCAGGUCUGGACUAUGAAAGGGACAAGAGAUUCUCAAAGGUUGAUUUUCUUUAGUUAAUUUUUUAAAUUAAAUUGAGCAGUUUAUUUACACUCCUGGCAAAAUCCAUUUACAUAAACUGCUGCAAAUCUGGACUUUUAAUAUAUGCAUUCAAAGACCUUUUUUUUUUUCAUUAUAUCAUUUAUGUCUUGUACUUACACAAAUGUUUUUGAGAAUUGGCUUUUUAAAUAAUGCAAAACCAACAUAUCCCAUGGAUUGGAUUACCCUUCAACUUAAAAUGGGGUUACUUUUGUAACAAGCCCCAUAUUUGAGGGGUAUACAUAAAGAUUUUUUUUACAGGGCUGGACAUGUAAAUAGGUGAUUUUGCAGGGGCCGGGGAUAUAUAUAUAUAUAUAUAUAUAUAUAUAUAUAUAUAUAUAUAUAUANCAUUUGUUUUCGAUGAUGGAGCCUCCAAAUCGGCGAUCGGUACCGUUGAAAAUGAUCUAUACCACUUGAAGUAUCUAGAAAUUAAAUUUUAUGCUUUUUCGAUAUUAUUCUCUUGUUCAUCAAGUGGGUGUAAAAAUGAACGGCUGAAAAUGAAUAUCCUCUAAAAAGUGAUGAUAGGAAUUUUGUAAUCAAGAUCGAGAGUAUAGAUCUUGCUCUAAAUAGUUUAAAGAAUUUUCUAACAAAAAUUCAAUUGAUUUGGAUAGUUUUACACCGUUAAACGAGAAAACGCCUCAUAUCAACCAUUAAAAUUACAAAAUUUGAAACCCUUUGAUCAUUAGGUCAAUGAUGUCGAAAAGAUUUGAAAUUUGAUUUUUAGAUACUUCAAGUGAUAUAGAUCAUGCUUAACGGUGCCGAUCGUCGAUUUGAAGGCUCAUCAUCGAAAACAAGUGGGUGGUGGCAACGGAGCCCGUUUGCUACUGAUAGCAUUCUAGCUUAGCUCUCUCUAUAUAUAUAGGCUAGGGCUACUAUACUCUUAUGAGUAUAGAGCCCUUCGUACUCAUAAGUUGUUUUCGAUGAUGUGGCUUCCGAAUCGACGAUCCACUCCGUUAAAUAUGAUCUAGAGUAUUUGAAACUUCUAGAAAAUAAAUUUCGUAAUUUUUCGAAAUCAUAAUAAAGUCCAUCAAGCGGGCAUAAAAUGAAUGGUCAAAAUCGAACGACAUCCUAAAAAUGGAUGAUCGGAUCCUUCAAUUUAAGAUCGGAGUUAUUGAUUUUUAUCUAGGUAGUCAAUAUAAUUUUCUAUCAAAAAUUCAACCUAUUCCAAUUCUUUUACACCAUUAAACUAGCAAGUAUCCCAUACCGGCAGUUAAAAAUUGUUAAUUUGUGAGCUUUUUGAUUGUAAGGUAAAUGAUAUCGAAAAAUUAUAAAAUUUGAUUUUUAGAAGUUUUAAAUGUUCUAAAUAAUGUUUAACGGUAUGGAUUGUCGAUUUGGAAGCUCUAUCAUCGAAAACGACUUAUGAGUACGAGAGCGAUUGUACUCAUAAGAGUAUAGUAGCCGGACUCUAUAUAUAUAUAUAUAUAUAUAUAUAUAUAUAUAUAUAUAUAUAUAAGCCCCCUUAAAAUGUUUACUAUAGAAACAACUCGGUGAUUAUUGUGAAGUAACAUUACAAUGCAGUCUUUCAAGGAUCUGGUUGCUACAUGCUUAGUAAAGGAUCCAAAGAAGCGACCCUCUUCAGAAAAGUUGUUGAAGCACGCUUUCUUUAAGCAUGCUCGUUCAAAUGAAUAUCUAGAGAAGAGUAUUCUUGACAACCUUUCUCCGCUUGGUGAACGUUUUAGGAUGUUAAAGGUUUUAACUACAAUCGCUAUUCCUCUAGUGAGAAGAUCUUGGGAUAAUUAUUUUUUUAGUCUGAUAACUUCAUUUACAGAGUAAGGAGGCUGAUUUCCUAUUACAUAACAAGGGUUUACCUGGAGAAAAAGAACAGUUAUCUCAGGUAUAUUACUUGAAGGUUGCUAUUAUCUUAACUUUUCUUUUGUUAAUGUAAUUUUGUUGUUUUCACAUGAUUCUGGAUUUUUACUUGUUUUGGAAAUAAAAUUGCUUAGUUACUAAUGUGUCCUACCUAUCUCAUACCUACCACAAAGAGUGCAGUAGCAAAUUGAUAUAAUGUUAUUACAAACAGAGAAAUGUUCUGGUGAGUUUUUACUGCUGGAAAUGCGAGUUUUGAUAGGAUUUUUGCCUGUCAAAUUUCUGAUUGUUUGUGAGAUUGACUGCAAAUAGUGGCAACAUUUUGUAUUUGUUCUUUUUGAUUAAAUCACAGAUUUUAUUUGCAGCGAGAGUAUAUACGGGGAAUAAGUGGUUGGAAUUUCAACCUAGAGGACUUGAAAGCUCAGGCUGCCCGUGUAAGGAAAUCCAUUUUCGCAUUAGUUUUACCCGAGUUCAAAAGAUUCGAUGCUUAGUGUGCUUAUGGAAUAGCUUCUAUACUUUGAAAAGUAGCCCUCAGUCGUUAGGCAAACAAAAAAUCUUAAGGUUUUUAUGUGGCUGAGAGCUGCUUCUGAGCAUCAAAAGCAGAAACUUCAAUUUGUAGCUUAUUCUUUUGCCCAAACAAACUGUUGAGUGGAUCUGAAUGAAAAAGCUUAUAGUGCUUUUUCACAAAGCUCUACUCAAACAAUAUCUCCAUAACCUUGAGCUAAGCUGAACAGGCCUUUUAAGAAAAAUGAUCCGUUGGAGGAACAUGGCAAUUAACUGUUUUUCUUUUGACAUGAACUUUUGCAGCUAGAAACCUCAGAUGGUGCCCUCCCUUCAGAAGAGGUAGAUAAUAUUUCUAACACCAAGGAUGCCUUUGAUGAAGCUGAUAUUCAGCAGCAAAUUCGUUCAUCAGAAAGUGUUAACAAUUCUAGCUCUGCAACUUCUCCUGAGGUAUUCAAUUCCUGUAAUGCUAUUACUCUGAACCUUCAAUUAUUCCAGUUCUUGCUAUUCAGUAGUGCAGAUCUCACUUGAUAAUUAUUUAGGAAAUAUUUAGAUAUGUACUUCUGCAAUAUUAUUAAUUACAAUAAAUAUUCCUACAAAAACUGCAUUUUAUUAAAUGCCCUUUUAAAUCAUUAUUUCUUACAAACAUAUCCUUAUAAUUAUGGAAGUGCUGUUCUUUAAGAAGUUUUUUGUAGUACACAACAGUAUGAUAAAGGAAUUCUUGUAAGAAACUGUAUUUUCAAGGGGUAUAUAUAUGGCCAUCUUGAUUUUACAGGAGGUUAUAUGUAAAUAGCUGCUUUUCUGGGACAUUCCUAUAUAGGUCUUUUUCUAGAUGUUAUUAUACUUCUGAUUCUCUCAGGUAGACAUACAAGAUAUUCAAGAAUUGGAGGGUCCAUUUGCCUCUGCAUUUGCAAGUCGUCCUCUUGAGGCACUCAAGUAUGGUUUCUUUACAACAGAUCAGUAUUAGUUUUUGCAGAUUUUCUUCAUGCGAAAACAUCCUUGAUUGAAAUCUCCCAUGUCAGAGACUAACUGGAAUUGAACCCAAAAAAGGGGAGAAAUUGGGCUUUAAUAUUGCAGAAGUUUCUCUAGAUGUUUAGGGAACUGCUGAUUUCUUUUAAAGCGUGUUGCUCUUAGAGAAUGAUUCUUUAGUACUUCACUCUGAACCCUUGCUCUCAUGUUUGGCCUUGAGACAUUUAAUAGAAGCUGAAAACUUCAUGCUCGGCCGCUUUGAUACAUAUAAAAGACACUCAAUUAUCCCACUGCUAGUAUUAGUAACUUGAAAGGCCCUUAACCACGUGUCCUGAAAAGCUUUAGCUUAAAAUACUAAUACUAGUAUCAUAGUCAUUUCAAAAAUCAAAUGCAUUAUGCUAUUAAAUUUUAUGUGAGACUAUUGAGGUGUGACAUGUUAUCUAAAACAAGCGACAGUGGCUGCACAUGAUUAGACAAACUCUUUUUGAUCAUCGUUGAAGUCAAAGAUAGUUAUCAUAAAAACUUUCCACUCUAUUUGUUUCUUCAUUGUAGCCACAAGUCAGUCUUUUGUUAGGUCAGGUUGAUUUUAUAACAGUUUGUAUCUAGCAAAAACAUGGGCCUAGCACAUUUUGAAAUUGGUAACUGAAGUACUCAACCUUAAGUUUUUUAUUUUUCUACUUAAGGUACUUCUGAAAUAGUUAUCUGAACCUCAAAAUAUUUCCAUUUUAUUACCUAAUCUUGUACAAUUUGUAAUUUGACGGAAUAUUCUACUAUAGUUUGACGGAAUUCGUUAAGUUCAGAACAGAAUUUUCUGAAAUUGAAAGUGGUGAAAGAUUCGGUAGUGAAAUCAAAACUUGUAGGUUCAGGUACUAAUUUUGAAAUCCACUAUAUUUCGGAACUUCAGAUUAGGUCUCUAUGUUCCAACAGCUUUUUUAUGAUGGAAGAUAGCUGUUCGGAACAACUGGUAAUUACAACUUAUUUUUACGAUGCAGAUCUUGUUUUGAUGUCUGCGAUGAUGAGACCGAUGCUAACAGUCCUAUAUUAAAAGCACAUUUAAACUCAGAAUCCCGGUUUCCUUCAGAACAAUCAUCCCAGCUAGGGGAUUUGAGGGCCGCCAAGUGUAAUGGUGAUAACUUGGAAAGGAGUGUUUCCGUGCCCACGAAUAUCAGUGUUCUUGGAUGCCAGAAAUUCUCUAGCGGUUCUCUUCUCCCAGAGCAUGUUCUUUCUCCUUACAGGAGAACUUCUGGGGAUACUGAGAGGUAGUACUGUAAUUUGCAAGAGCUUUCACUUGUUUUUAAAUGUUAACAAGCUAUUAUGUUUGUUAAUUGCUGUUAAGUUUCAAGUGCUUGGACCUAGAUUCGUGUUUGCCAUUGUUUGGCGAAAGUACGGUCCUGUGCCAACAUGGCAGCACACACUUCAUGCCACUUGCACCAUAAACUUGUGCUGGCACAUUUUGGCAACAAUAAGUUCUGCUUGUUCUUAAAUGUGCUUUUAUCAAGAUCUUUUGUACUUAUAUUGUUGUAAUUUUUGCUAGUUUCAAAGAAACUUCUUAAACUAUAUAUGCAUUUUAUUGUGUUGAGGAUUAACUCCAUUUGCCUUUUUCUUAUUUACCAAAGGGAUGAGUUGCAUCGGAAACACCACAAUGAAAGGAAUCAUAGUGGCCCUCUUUCAUUCCGUCAAAUGAGAGAUGCACAAGGUAUCGUACACUGCCACCAACCACCCCAUAACCCCAAAUGUUUUUUUGUACUUAUUUACUUUUAAUAAUUGAUAUCAUAAAGAAUGAUGUUAUGUGUUCCUCAGAAUGCACAUCAAAAUAUUAUUGAUGAGUCAGCUUUAUAUAUAUUGCACUUAGUAGCUGGCUUAGUAUUUUAAAUUUCAAACAUAACAUCUGACUGGAUAUCAGUACUGGAAAAGCCAAACUACUCAAUAGCUACUACGUGUGUCAAGCUGACAAAUUAAUGGCAUUUUAGAGUACAUUCUGAGGUACCUGAAGCAUCAUUCUAUUCUUAACAUACUAAUACUGCUAUGGCAUGAUGAUAUCAGCACAACAGGAACCAUCAGAGGAGAAAGUUGUUCAGCGUAGGGGGAGGUUCAAGGUUACAUCAAGUGAUGUUACUCCAAAGGUGCUUCAAUAUGUGUACUGAAUAAAACAAGUGGAAAAGUAGCACAAUAAUUAGGGCAUAAAAUGUCUUUUCUCUUCUCUGUUGCAGCUAGACUAAGUUGCGCAUAAAGACAGUAAAAGUAAACUUGUUCAGAUUUAUAAAAAAUCACAAAAGUUAAAGAAAAUUUGGUUAAAGUUAGAAAUGUAGGCCGACAUUUUUCUUUACAUGAAAAUACAGCUCUAUAGAAGGAAUGAAAAAUGAACAUUUUCGACAAGUGUUGCUCCUUCCAGACCUGCAAUAUGCUAAUGGCUUUAUUAAAGUAGUGUCCUUUCUUUAAAGCUAAUGGUUUUGGAGAAUAUAAUUGUGGUUUUCUGAAAUUUUGAAGAUUCAGAAGUGGCCUUAAGAUUUUACAUUAAAUAUUUUUGAAUCUUCAGAAAGGACGCUCAUAUUGGAGAUUUUCCUGCAAAUUUAUGUACUUACGAGAUGAAACUGCCAGUUUUAUUGCAUUAAUAAAAAUCUCAGUAAAAAAGAAACAUAAUAAUUAUUUAGUCACAAAGAAACCUAAAGACCUUUGCCAAUUAGGUUGCUUUAAUCAAGCAUUUUUGUUUCCUCUUGAAACUAAUUUCUUUUUGACAUUUACAUUCAUAUAAAAUGUUAUAGAAAACUCAAAUUCAAUAAAGCGAAUUCCAUAAGAUUAGAAACUUACAUCUUUGUUUCUUUUUCUCUGCAUAUGUUAUCUGAUUUCCUAGGUAGCUUCAACAGCAAACAGCAAGGCGGACCAAUUCAGUGGAACACCAACAAGACGUACACUAAACGGUCCUGCUCUUCUUCCACCGUUGCAAUUUUUAUUGCAGCAAAAUGCUAUGCAAAGGGUAUGCUGGAAUUGUUUUUAUUUUCAAGUUUCAACGAACAUCUUGUUAGUUGUUACCUUAUCGUUUCACCAUUUUCUUAUGUUGUUGGCAGGAGCAACUUCUUAAAUUGAUGGCAUGUGUCGAGCAAACAUCUGGUACACAAUUCUUUGUUUUGCUAUUCGAUAGUCUUGUUUCAGUUGCUUGAUAUUCUAAUUUGAAAUAUUGGCUUGAAAUAGGCUUCCAUUCAGAAGUUUCCGAUGCAGGAACUAGUGAUUCAUCACAGGUAUAUACAAAUUGAGUACUUUCCCGUGUUUUUGCUAGCAAGAUGAGCAGUUAUAUAUUUAAAUUAAUUGUAGUGAAUUCAAUGUGUGGGGGGGGGGGGUUUAAUAGCCAAUAAGUGGGAGAAAAUUACUAGCAAUUCUUUUAAUAAUUGUGAAAGAUAGUUGUUUUUCUUUUAAUUACUGUCUAUGAUGUUGUAAUGCACGGACUUUAUAAUUGCAUAUUGGUCCCCACAGAAAUAAAACUAUUGGAUCUGGCCCUGCUUAUUGGCUAUUGUAACAUGCUAACCAGAGAAAGUAACAGGAUAGACGUCACUAUAAAUUCAAUUUAUUUUUGCUGGCUUUUGAUCAUCUGGAUAAACUUCUGUCAUAUCACCUUUUAAUAUGUAAAUAAAAUUUCCAAGCUUUUUUGCUUCGUGACUUACUAUCUUGUAAAAUGUGACACCAAAUCUUGACGAACCUCUUUUCUUUUCUGAGUGCAGUGGUAGCCAUCUUGUGGAUGUGGUAAAUCAGUUUUGUUCUCUCUUAUGUGUAUUGUAGCUCUAUUACCUGUUUAUUUAAAGACCUCUCAAAGAGCAGAUAUUAGAAUACUCAGAAUCGUUCAUUUAUACUCGGUUAUUCAGACUCUCACUCUAUCAGUUGAAAUGUUGCAAUUUUGGGUCUAAUAACCUCGAAAUUGUUUGCAGUUGUGUCAAGCAUCUUCAAGGGAAAAGGAGCUACAGGCUUAUGUGGCUCAUUUGGAACAAGGGUACAGCGUCUUUCCAAAUGCAUAGUAUCAUUUUUAUUCUUUUUUGGGGUAAAAUGUAGAUAUUGCUAUUGGUUCCUGUAGUCAAGCAUUGUAAUCCCGACUUGUCACAUUUAUUGCACUUUAGUACUUUGGCUGUUAAAAAUCUAGACUAUUGUUGUAAGAUGACCUUUUUAAUCUGGUUUGAAGUUCAUGCAAUAAGUGGGUUAUUUACAGAAAGGAUAAAAUGACCAUUUUAUAAGAAAAAGAUAUCUUUUGACGGCCAGGAGUUGAAGUGCAAUACAUGUGAAAGUUUAGGAACUAAUUUGUUUGAGUGCAGGAGAUAGUACAGACCGUCCAUACAUUUUACCCUUUUCUUGUUUUAAUUACCCGAAGGACUAAAAUUUGUCACCAUUUCAGCAUUAUGGAACUUGCCCAAGAGGUGCAGAAGCUAAAAACGAAGAACACUCAGGCAAGUUUUCAUGCGAUAUUUUCUGGCUUUUUUUUUUACAAUUUAUUUAUAGUUUUUUCUCUAGAAGAGACGAUAGAGGGUUCAUUUAAACAAAUAACCCCUUUGUUAUUGUGUGCAUUUUCACUUCAUUACCCUGUUGCUUCAUUUAUCCCACCGAACUCUUCCAUGGUUGCUAUUUCUUUGCCGUAUGGACCUUCCACGCACAUGGUGUCACAAACCGACAAAAUAAGAGCCAUGGCCUUUGUUUGCCAUUUCUAACCUACCGAUAGUGACCAUAUGAUCGGUAAGUGCAGCGAAUGAAGCCACAGGUUAGUGAACUACAAACGUGCUAAACAACAUAAGGGUAUAUUUUGAGAGCUCAGCAAUACCUGUAUUUUCCAUUAGCCGUUUGGUGGACAUUUUAUGAGGAAUGCACGUAUUCACAAAGAUAUCACUGGUACACAUUUAUUUCCUACUCUAGUGAGAGAUGGACAGCUGCUCCAAAGUCGACGCCCCAGUUUGUUUGAAUUGAUUAUCCAUAAUGAUUGAUGUGCUCGAGAGUACGUGUUUGCCAUGGGCUGUUCGUUUAUGUGAUUCUCCAUAUCUAAAUUGCAAUAGUAAGCUAUUCCUUGUUUUACAGCUAGAGCGGCAGAUCAAUGCUCUGACCAGCAAGGAGGAUAGGGUGCGGCGGAGAUAAAUAGGCAGCACGAGAAUGAAAAUACCAUCCCGUAGAAGACACGGCGCGCCAGAUGCUCGCGGCGGAUUCUGGUAUGUGUUUAUUCAGCAACUCCGGCCCUGUUUGGAUCCUCGUCCGUCCAUGUAAUAUCCUUGCAAUUUUGAACGUUUGUGUUUGUGGAGAUGCUUCCGUGUUUGUUUUGUUUCCUAACUUAAAAAAAAGCAAGUAGCCGACGGUCUCAUAUGUCGAUUUAUCUGUACAGCAUGGUGGGUCUUUGUUUAUAAAGUUGGGGCAAAUGCUUGUUUAUAAAGUUGGGGCAAAUGCUAUUGCGAGAUUUGCGAGCGAACGAAAACUACAUUUGUGCACAAUUUUAGCUUUUGAAUAUAUCUUAUUGCUUCCACGAAUCCCCCUCCUAAUCCUGGUAUCUUCCAUGAUACUUAUCCCUAUAAUAUAGGAGACGACGGUGAGCGUAUUUGAUUGGUGGCUUGUUGAUGUGGGACUUGAUUAUGCACGGGCGAUAGCACAUUCUGAUUGUUUUUUGUAUCUAGGGCUGCAAAUAGUAGCAAAAUGAUGGAGCUUCCAAUCUCAAAUAGCAAAUAGGGCAGUAGGCAGGAACUAAAAACUAUAGGAGAAAAAGAAAGAUAACCACUCGGAGCAGAUACGAAAAUGAUCCCUUUUCUCAUCAGUCAUGCUUGGCUGAAACUGUCCCCUACUCGGACCAAACACGAAUGGAACAGUCAGCGAAGGCGAAAAAACAGCAUUAAAAACAAACAAUACCCCACAAAAAUCUACGAUCCGCAAGACGGUGAUCGCACAACACCGCGGGACGCCCAUCUAAAGCACGCAGUCUGAGAAACGGUGCAUACUUGUACCUGACAUUAUGAUUACGCAAAAUCGGACCAAUCGCGAGCCAACUCUCCCAUCUCCCAUCCAGAGAAGAGUUUCUCCUCACAAAAUUUAGACUUCCACCCCAUAUUAUCAUCACUACUACUAAAACUGCAUUGACAAACAGAAAAAAAAACAAGCAAUAGCAGCAAGUCAUAUGUAUACAAGGCACUCAGUUAUCUCUACAGAUAAUACAACCAUGCGUAGGGCAAAUUCCAGACAACUGCGGCUGACAUUUUCACAGUAUCAUAUUAUCCAAGGCAAAAAAUAAAGGCAUAUCAUUUGCAGGGGGGGGGGGGGNGGGGGGCGAACAUUCACGCUUUUAAUGGAAACAAACCUCGAAGAGUUAAAUCUACGGUAAUGCAUAAUAACAGCUCGUUCUUUACGGAGUAGUUCUAAAUAAAACAUAACGCAAAGAAGCUGCGCCGAGGAAGCAGUAUCCUUUUUCGACGAGGGCGGAAAUCUUAGUGCCCGUAUUUCUGGAACUCCCAUUCGCUGUUGUCUGUGUAAACACACGAGAAGAAAAGGAGAGUCAGAUGAAUGGAAAUAAUACGAUUGCAUGGGGGCCUUACACCAGACCUACAGCACAUAUUUUUGAAAUUAGUGCACCAAAUUUGAAAUAUUCAAAUUCUUUACUAUCCAACUGCCAUGAAGUGCUUUGGAAGUAGAUACCUGGACUCUCUGAAAGUUUAGGAUCUACUACCAUACCAUAGAUUAUUUGUAAGAUUUACGAUAAUCUUUUGUUAGAUUACACAGUACUCCACCAAAAUGUUACAAUUACUGUUUGCUGGGUCGUUAAAUCAAAAUUUUCAAAGACCAGUUAACUAUUUCAGUAAAAUCGUACAUUUGGGUUGUAAAAUCAAAAUAUUUGAAGUACCAACUUCAAAAUAUGCUAUAGACCAGGUUAAGUCUGGAUAUUUUUACCAAAAAUAAACCAGACAUAUAUAUAUAUAUAUAUAUAUAUAUAUAUUCUUUUUGGAGGAAGAGCAGGAACAAGGAUAGCUAACCCAGUGGGCAAACUUGGCGAGUUUUGAGCCACCGGCUGAUGCAGUGGAAGUGGAAUGCGUGAUUGCAUACGCCUGUUUUUCAGUACGACAUUGCGAAGGUCAAAACAAUUUCGUCAAUCUUUAUCAGGAUCAGUGGAGAAAAAUCAUCAAACAAGAAAACAAGAAAUAUUUCCAUAGACGAUUAAAAUAUCCCAUAAAAAAUAAGCCAAAAUAUUCUGUUUAAUCCAUCAAAAACAGAUAUAUAAUCCUAUUAAGCGUGAGUGUAUUUUCUCAAUGUUCAAUUUUAAAAAAAUGAAGCCUUAAACGACCUACAGUUGGAGAUACUGAUUGUAUGUUUUCCCAAUUUAAAAUUCAAUUCUUAAUGGUGCAUGGUGACAGUUACAUUAAUUACUUUAUAUUAUGGUUUAAAACUCAUAUAAUAGGUCCAAAACAAUUGUUCCUAGCUCUCGAUCUAUAUAAUAUAGCACCAUAAUUUAAGACCGGCUCAUCAACUUGUACAUGAUAGUUGCUAAGGAUACAUUGGACUGUUAGGCAAAGUAAACUUUACAGCAGAUUAGACACAAUAAGUGCCGUGCAUACCACGUCUACCUUCAAAAAGGCAACAGUAUAGAACCUCGUCAAAAGACACCAGACACACAUACACGAUUACUAGGUAGAAUCACUAGGCCUAGUUUGGAUGUUGGAAUAAGAUAUCCAAUUAUAACUCAUACAGUAUGAAGACUUUCUAGUGUGAUUGGAAGCAAGGAGUUUAAUUUUUGCCCCUUGAAAGGUCAUUGCCAUCCAUGAUUUGGUAGGAUAGCAUAUUUCAUUUUCACCCAUGAGGUGAUUUAUCUUAUUCCAAGAAAAUGGCUUGAAGGUCAAAUAUGGUACCCAUUCUAGACAUUUGCUCGUACUCCUUAUCAAACAAAUAUCACAUGUCACGAGUAAAUUAAAGAGAGAUUCUGAAUAAAAUAUUCGUGCAUCCAACCAGGGCCUAAAGCACAAUUCCGUUUCACUUGGUUAUUUCAUGUUAUCUCAAUACUAUGACAACAUUCUGCCAAAAGCAGUUAGAACUUAUGAUUGUAUCACAGCAACAAAAUGUGACAAGUUAGGCUAGACAUUACUCAAAUGAGGACGCGAACAUGGGUACAUGUGAUAAUGCAUAUGAGAGGAAGAAGUGAACUAGUAUGCAUAUGACAGAGAGGAAGAUCUAUGUUACUAAUGAAAAAAAUAAUACGAAUAACAAGAUUGAAGGACUGCUUACCAAAACAAGGUUUCGCUUGGUUAGUAGGUCCCGUGGAUUUACAUCUCUGCUAGACUUGAACCACAUUGAAUAUUCUAAAAAAUCUAAAAUCUUAUAUCUACAACCGGUCCAUGGGGGCUUACAAAUUCAGGUUAGAUCCAGGUGGAGAUCUAAGAAGGACUAAAUUGUGACCAAGUAAUCAGAUCUUAGUGAUAACUCCAUUUUCAGCCAUGGACUGUCUAAUAUUAUCCUUCAUCCCAUCUAUACUUUCGGAUUGCAAUACCUGAUUAAUUACAGCCUUUUAUUGAUUUACAUUUUUUUCAACAACAAGUGACCUUUGAUGGUCAAGUGCAAGAUGGGAUAGAGCAAGGAUUUAAGUGCCGUGGCACGGGAUCGUGCCAGAAACUUGCUUGCACGGCACGGCACGGUGCGUGCUGGUACGUGCCGAUGCGUGCUGGUCACAAAAAAAUUCUUGUGUGCAGACACAUAAUAGCAUGAAAUAUUUAUUUUCUUUAGCAACAAAAUAGUUUAACUGUUUAUUAUGUAUUUUUAUCAAAUCUUUUGAACUUAAUUGAUAAAAUUACUUAUUAAUUUAAAGAAUAGAGAUUUGAACUGUGUCAUCGGCACGGAGGCUAUAUCGUGCCAAUAUCUUGUUGGCAUGAUACGGCAUGGUAGAUAUAGCCCUUGCAAUAGGCACCUCAAUCCUUGGGAUAGAGGGCAAAAGAAUGUGUAAUCGACAACCUAUGUGAUGGCUAUCUUCAGGUAAUAGUAUCUCCUCUGGAUGUGCUCCUUCCAAAGCCUUCUCCUUCAUUGUCACAGCUAGUAAGGGUAGCUAACUAAUUCACUGGUGCAGUAUAGCCUAUCCUUAAUAAGCAUGUGUCCGCUAGAUUUCCUAUAUUGCCAGAUAGCCAAUCUUUAAUAAGCAUGAGUGAUGGAGUGCCCUAGAGCUCUAAUAUUGCCAUAUUGCCAAUCUGUAGCAAGAAAGGCUACAAAUAAUUGGGCAAUGGGGGAAUGAAAGAAGAGAUGGGUAAAUUACCAGGAUCGCAGACUUACCUACCAUCUUUCAGGAGCCAAUCUGUAGUACAUACGACCUAAAUUAUAAUCAAAGUAUAAUCAAAGUAAUUGUCCAUAUCUCAGAUCUACAAAUUCAGAUUGAUCAACUACAACAGCUGCAUCUAUCGUCGUCUUUUUCUCAACAAUUGAGAAAUAUCAUGAGAUAUCAAAAGUUCUAAUUCAACAAAAACUUAGUGCUAAUAAUGACGACUUUUUAAUCAAUAUGUUGUUGUUCAAAACUAAAAUCUCAGACAGAACAACCACAGCAAAUGCAUUUAACUUAUUAUAAACUUACAAAGAUAUAAAGAUAAUUUUGUUCCUCGAAAAGGACAAAAUAUAUUGCACUUAGAACACAAAGUUAGUACAAGCUCCAAGCAGUCAAGCAUUUAUGGUUCCUACAAAAAACAAACUGACUAUAUCUCAAGAUUCGAGAACAUAACUGUUAAGCAUGGGAUAUGUAGCAGAUUAACAAAGGAAAGGUAAAAGGAAAACAUGUCCCAAAAUGAUAUUUUACCUCUAAGAAUUAGCUCAUUCUAAAGUAUAGCUAUAGAUUAAUAGAGGGUCCUUACUAUCCAUUUUCUCCUGAUUUCUUGUAACCAAUCCAUCACAAAAUGCUCAAUUAAGUGCACAAAGAAACACAAAUAAAGUGGGGCAGAAUAGUCAUAUUAAUCAUUCAAAAAGCAAAUCUAGCCAAGAUUAUAAUCUACAAACUAUGAGCUAAUCUUAGCUGCUUAUUUUCAGUUACUUUUAUGACUAACAAGCCACUUUAUGACACUUCUAUUUCAGAAACAUUGAUGAGAAGAUGCAUCUAUAAAUUGCCUAGAAGUGUCAUCAUCCAAAUAGCGGCAACGUUAAUCAACAAAAGCAAGACACAUAUAUGUAUGAGAAUACCAUAACCUAAUCUAAUGCAGCAGAAUCUAAAAAAAAAAUCCAAAAAUUAAGCUUCUAAUUAAUAUAACGUUGCAUACCCCAAGCAACCGUGCACUCCUCGCUCGUCGCACUAGCUUGAUUAGCCUGGCACUCAAUACCUGCCAUUAUCGCAACAAAUUACACACAUCGCCAAUCGUGCAGCACAAAAGAAACACCGAGCAAAUCUUAACCCUAAUCCUCGCCCCAAUUGUAACGGAUAGAACAAAGAAACAGCGAAGAUCACUCACAGAGAUCCAUGAUGUGGUUCCGGCAUAUGGCGCAGUUGUCCACGACGAUAUCUGCAGAAACACAACCCGAUCAAAACAAUCGACUCGAUCGACCAGAGGAGAUACAGAGCUCAAAACAACGAAAAUUCGACCCUCGAUCUGAGGAAACCCUAGAGUUUUGUAGAGAGAGAGAGAGAGAGAGAGAGAGAGAGAGAGAGAGGAGAGCGAAGGGGAAGAGAUCGGUGUACCCCAGGCCCAGAGGGCGACGGCGUUCCACUUCUUAAUCUCGAAGCGCUUCGGCUUCUUCGCGACGGCGCCGGCGCCGGACGAGGAGGAGGGCGCUGCGGAGCUCGAUCCCUCGCCGGCCGGGACCAUGUUGAUGUCCGUGUCGAGCGUCGCCAUGGAUCGCCCCUCGAAACCCUAGAGAGAGAAUUGGAGCAGAGAGAGAGAAAGAGAGAGAGAGAGAGAGAGAGAGAGAGAGAGAGAGAGGAGUCAAGAGGACGAGUCACGGACAAGGAAGGGUAUUUAUAGGGUUUCGACAUUGUGGAUGGAGACUCGGAUUGCGCCCGUCCCAAUUAGAACCCAAUAAGAAAAAAGUUACAAAACCGGUAAAAAUGUAUAAAACGUCCCCAAACUAUUGAUAAUUUGGAAUCUACUAUCCAAUCUUUUAAUUUAUUUUAUUUAAAUAAUUUAAUAGCUCUUGAAGAUAUAAUUUUUUUUAAAAAAAUUUACUUUAAUAAAUUACUUUAUAUAAAUUAUACAAAAUAUUAUAACUAAAUCUUUAAGUUUAAAAAAAUCACUAAUUGGCUCAAAUUUAAUAAAUUAAAAAAUUAUGCAAUAAAGUUAAAAUUUUAAAAUAUCAUGUAGUCAAAUCCAAAAAGGCCCAAUCCCUCGUGAAUGGAACAAUAAGUGAGAACCGAUUUAGGGGUGUUUGGCCAAGCUUUUUAAAAGUGAUUCUGAGUUCAAAAGUAAUUUUGGGCUCAGUAGAGCGUUUGUUUGGCAAUAAAACCUUUAAAAACUGAUUCUGUUUUUGAGAAUUAAAAAACUGAUUUUUCAACCUUUAAAAGUAGAAGCAGAAAAAAGCUACUUCUCAAAACUGAUUCCCACAAAAGCAGUUUUCUCACUUAAAAUUUUUUAUGAAAAUAUCGAAACUACCCCUAAACAAACAAUAUAAUUCUACUCUAAUACUCUAACCUUUUAACACUUCCAACUACCCUCCUCUCUACCCUCCUCUCUCUCCCAUUUAAUUUGUAGUAUUGUGUAGUUUGUACGCGAUUAUGAAACAACAUUACAAAAUCACUUCAGCAAAAAAAUUUGCCAAACAGCUUUUUAAAAUCACUUCAACAAAAUUACUUUUAUAUCAGACUCACCAAACGCUUUACAGCUUUUAACAGAAAUUACUUUUUCAAACCAAAAUUAUUUUUUCAGAAGCUAGGCCAAAAGUUGCUUCAUAAUUCUUAUCAUUUCUUAAAAAAAAAAAAAAAGGUUUCUCUCAAAAAUUACAAAAUACUCCAAAGAAAAUUUUUUAUAGUAAAAUAAUGCAUAUUAGAAAAUUAUAUUGUAUAUAUUGUCAUACUUUUAAAUGCAUCCAAAUUUAAUGGGUUCACUGCACGGGGUUCCACAGAUAAUAUUUUAUUAGGGCAUCUCAUUGAACAACUAAGUAGACCACAAUGAUGCACCCACAUCUAAAACUUAUUUAUCUAAUAAAAAAACUAUAUAUAUAUUUUAUAAAAUCAAUUUUAAAAUUAAAAUAGAAAAAAAUAAAUAAAUAAAAAAAAAGNAAAAAAAAAAAAAAAAAAAAAAAAAAAAAAAAAAAAAAUCUGUAGUAAAGUGGAAAUUAACUGAAAAUUUCAUUAUUAUUUGAGAAGAAAUUCGCCAAUUGUUAAAACUUGCGAAAAAUAAAUAAAUAAAAAAACUAAAAAAACCUAAUGUAAUAAGAGAAAAUUUUGCUCAUACCGCCUCGAAGAAGCGAUUAUUUCGAAAAUUUUUACCAAUAUUUACACUCAGUUAUAUAAAGAGUAUGGCAUUUAUGGAGAAAGAAAUGUAAUUAAGAAUCUUUUCUAAAGGCUUUGCCUAUAUAGUGUUCCUAUGAUGAAUCCAAGUCAGUGCGCCGUCAUCAUCUGAUCAGCGCAGAUCGGAUCAGCGCUGUUGCAGAAUGCGACUCCAAUGUAAGCCCUUGAAGACGUCGAGCUCCUGUAAGAAGUCGAGCUCGAUUCUCGUCGGUUGGUUUCAAUUCCGAUAUAAGCCCUUGAAGACGAAGAACCCGAUCCCGCCAAUUGCAAGCAUGAGAACGAGCGGAUUCGAGAGCGCAUCGACAUCGAGCAACCUGUUUCCAUAGUUACUUCUCUUCUGACGGUUCGUCUCGGCCAGGUGGUCGUGGAGCAAGUUGAUAAUAUUGUCUACCUGAUGCAUCAUCUGACGCUGCCCUCGCGAUAUCAGCAUAAGCUGGGUAUAUAACAACAAAAGCUUAAAAUCAGAAAAGGAUAGGAUUAUAGAAUCAGAUAUGAAAUUAAGACCCUGCGAUUCGAUCAAACUCUAACGACGAUGCGGGUGCGGCAUCUUUUUCUUCAGAUGGUAAACUAAAUGACUUGAUUCUUAGGUAGCAGAAAAAAUUUGACUAUUAGGUAAAAUUGAAACUCUUAUUAAGGAUUCAAGUGAAAUCGGCUAAAUUAUUCGUGGACUAAAUUUGAGCGCAAACAAAUGGGUAUAAUAAAGAUUGAUCGAUUAAUCGCAAUAACUAAAAUACUCUCCUGAAUCGCGAACAUUACCAUGAUAACCAUAGGGAUAGCCAAAAAUGCAAAUUAACACAAGAAAAGUGGUAAACCAUAAGGCAAAAGGAGAUAAUUUUGUGAAUGGGACAUAAAUUAUGUAGAGCCCGAACUUUUAUGGCUACGGUAACGAUUCUAAUGAGUGAUUAAACCCAAAAAAAAAAGGUAAAGUGUACAGAACUUAUCCAAACUAAGGAUCUAUUUUAAAUUGGCUACCCAAUAUUUCAAAAUUUUGGUUUUACUAUCAAACCUUUCAAUUUGUUUGAAUUGAAUGAGUCGGCGGGAUUUUGACUUCAAUAUUUGAAUGCGUAGUUUAUCAGUACAAGUUUAAUUAGUAUACUUGAGGUAAUUCUCGCAACUAUGAAUCCAUUAAAAUAAAUAAUUAACUUAAAUUUUAAAGUCAAAGUCCCGUUGACCGACUCAAAUCAAACAAAUUGAAAACUUGGGAAUGGAAGUUCUAUUAAGUUUUCACCGAAAAAUAGAAAAAGAUAAGAGAAGAAACAUAACAUAUCAAAUAAAAACAACCAAAAAGCUAAAACAGUGGGACAGUUAAAAAGGUGGCUAGAUUCUUGCUUACCUCUUCCAUUACUGGAGAUUCCUUGAUCAGUUGGUUGGAAGAUGAAGAAGUGGGCAGCAAAGUGCCGUUACCCAAAUUCGACACGAACAAAGAGGUCGGCACAGAGCCAUUACAAGCUUCUGCUUGGAGAGGCAAGUUCUGUUGACUCAUAGGCAGCUUCUUCGUACUCAACUUGGAACCCAGCUCCUCGAUUUGGGAAGUGAACUCAUCCAUCCUUUCAUUCAGAGUUGAAAUUUGUUCCGACAGCUGGGUGAUCACCCCCUAGAGAAAAUAAUGGAAAAUAAGGCGAUGGGCAACAUAUAGGAUUGAUUUGCAAAUUGUAGACUUCAUAAUGUGAGCUUUUACAUAACUUUAUCCCAGCAAAAUCAUCUAUUCGCACAUGUACCCCUCUACGAUCUGAAAAUUUUUCAUUCCAAAAAAUGUGUCUAAAAUUGAGUUUGGGCGUCAUCCAAUCCAUAGGGGGAAGUUGUAGUUAUAUUAAGGGAAAAAGAGAUGUUCUAAAGAGGGGCAUUUAUUUACUUAUAAACAAUACAAAUAACUGAGAAUCAAGUUUCUGAAGAUCAAAUACAAAAAUUCAGGUUUUGCGGGAUAUGGAAGUAAACAUCUCCUAUUAUUCUAAUAGAACUCUCUAGGUCACAAUUGCUCGACAAGGUCACCUGAUUGAUUGAAGGAGAUUCAGGGGUUCGUCCGCUAUAUCUUCUAUUGGUUUCGGUAAGUUUCGAUAACUUCACGAUAUUCUUAUCCCCUUGUGUUGAAAAGGAAUGAGACAUGCCACUGCAGGAUAUCCACAUUAGACAUUUACAAAUUAAAUCAUAAUAAACAAACAUAAUGCCAAAAUCAAAAACUUGACUUUGAUGUCUAUGUAAUAAUCAGACAUAAGUAUUAGACGACACACAAAAUGAAGAACAAAUGCAGAUUUAUUUUCAAUAAGAAUAACAAUAAGAUUGCAAAAGAGAACCUUUUGAGAAGCUUAUUCCUCAUGGCAACCCUGUCAGCAGAGGCCCGCGAAAGUGCCUCCUUCGGACUAGAAGCCAAAUCAUCGUCUAUACUGAGCUUCGUCUUCAAAUCAUCUGGCAAUGCCUGCAUAACUUUUUGUGAGAAAUGCACUACUGUAGAAAGAACAGCAACAAGAAGGUAUCGCUAUAGUUUCAUACCAUCACAUCAUUUACAAGUUUUUCCAGUUGAAUCUGCUCGAUGUACGUGCGAGGAAUAUAAGAACCUUCCAAGCCCAACUGUUCUGCGAUAUACUUGACAUAAAGGCGGUCUCUUCCUUGCACCUAAACCAAAAGGAAAGCAGCUUAUCAAUCUUAAGAAUCACGCUGCCAUCAGCAAGAGCACAGUGACAGUUAAAAUAAAUUUCUAUGAGGAGAAAUUUACCUGGAUGUAGCGACGGUUAAGUUGUUCUAACCUAUCAAUUUUAACAAUUACCCUGCUAUCAGCAAAUACGUGGCUGCUUCUUUUAAGAAUAGCUGCUAUGCUGUACCCCAAGGCCAUCAGCCCACCAAGAAGACGGACGCUAACUUCAAAAGUAAUUCUCGGCGAUAUGAUGAAGGGAUUGUCCGUCACCCAUUCCUGAAAGAUUCAUAAACCAACUUAUGGUGGCUAAAAAUAGGAUUUCCAUUUUAAAAAAAAUCUUUAAUGCGGAAAAAGAACCUUGUAAUUAGGGGUGUAAAACAGGCCGGGCGGCCCGUGCCCGGCACGGCAUCGGGCCGGGCUGGAGCAUGGCAUGGAUGCUGUAGCACCCGUGCCGGCCUGGCCCGAACGGUAUUUGAGGGCCAUGCCGGGUCUGUCCUCUUGGGCCUGAUGGCCCAGCCCGGCACGGCCUGAAACGGGCUUGGGCCGUGCUGGGCCGAGGAGAGGCCCGUGGCCCGGCACGGCACAGCCCGCUUGGGCCGUGCCAGUCGGGCUAGCACGGCCCGAACAACAAGGCCCUUCUUCUGGGUUGGAUCUCCUAGGGAGAAGGGCCAGGAGAUCUCCACCCAAGGUCUGCCACAGCAGACCUUGGGAGGAGGUUUUUGGUCCAAUGGACCAAAAUACGUUGGUCCAUUGGGCCAAAAACACUCUUAAUUUCUUUUUUUUUUUUAAUGAAAUAUAUAUAUAUAUAUUUUUUAAAAAUUAAAUAUUUGUUAUAUUAUAAUUAUUUUUAUAAAUUUUAAAUUUUUAAAUAGAAAUAAUUAUUUAUUUAUAUUUUAAAAUAUAUAUAUUUUUUUAAAAAAAUAAAAAAAUAAAAUCUUUUAGGGGCCGACCCGGAGCACGGCCCGGGCCUGGUCGGCCCCUCGCCGGAAUAGGCACGAAAAAUGUGGGCCGUGCCGGCCCGACACGGCCCACAUUACACCCCUACUUGUAAUCUUCUUUUUAUCUCAUCAAAAGUAACUAAUUUUGCUGAUGCAACUUUGUAGGGCUCAUUUCACCAUUUUAUCAUGACAACCGCCAGGAAUGAAGUACUUGUGAGUUACAACUUCAAAAAAAUUUUGUUCUGAGGCUAACGUUUUAAAGCAUACUAACUAGAAACGUGAUAAACUAAAGAAAGACUAUUAUUCCACUCAGCUAUGUUCUGCAGUUAAAAACUUAAAAUCAAAUAAAAGUGUAAGUUAUUGAGUACUAAAGGUAAAAAUGGAGCAUAUUUUAUCCAUCACUAACUAAAGAUGGGAAUAUUCACUGGCGUUAUCAUGCCAAGGGACAAGAAAUAACUAUUAUCCCACCCAGGUUAAUUAGGUUAUGAAAAAAAAAAGAAGUGCAUAUAAAAGGAACUUUCGACACCAAGCUUCACAUUGGACAUAUACGAAUCAUUACAAUGAGAAACAAAAGUAAAAAUAGCACAAACCUCAAACAUAAGAUUGUAUUUUCCGUCUCUGUUUCGCAUCCUCAAAUAUGAUUGGCAUGCCUCUGGAUCUUCACCUGGUGGAAGUAGAUAUAUAUCGUAAGUCUCCUCCGUGCUUUCUGUAUGUUCUGGAGAUAUAGCGGCCUUGAUUUGAUCAGGUGUAAUGGGCUUUGGUGACUGCAACAAUGGCACAAAUUAUUAGACACUAUCAGAAGAAUAGAAAACCAAUAAAAGGAACCAUCUGCUAGUCCUGUCUCAUUGUUCCCACCUAUUCUCAUUGUUCCCACCUAUUUAAAUAGAUAAAGCAUACAGAUAGUUUCUGCACUACCCGAUAUUGCGACUGAAUCCUUAAACUUUUCACUUAAAAACUUUAGUCCCUAAACGUUCUGAUAUAUUGAAAAUUCAUCCCUAAUCAUCCAAAAAAGAAAAAAAAACCUAAUUUUCUUGUAAAAUGACCAUUUACCCCUACUCUUAAAUGACUUCCUUAUUUUAGUUUACUUGAAACAAGUUAAGAAGUUGGUUUUAUAGCAGAAAGUCAACAGACAUCAUAUUUCUUUAAGUAUUAAGGAUGAAGAAACAGUAUACGAGAAAGUUUACCGACUAAAGUGUUCAAGUAAAAAAUUUAGGGACCAAAACACACUGUCAAGAUAGUACAUGGACUAUUCAUACAUCUAACCAAAAUUAAAAAGAGCAAAAUAGAAUUAGGGAGUAACCUUCAGAAUGUAUGUGGGAUUCUGGAAGCCGGAGAAUGGAUUGAACUUGUUGAUGAUUUUUAUAUGUGCUGUUUGGAGAUCUGGCUCAAUGAAGGCUUUGUACAUUGGAUAAACCUGCAGAAUAGCAUCCAAAAAUUCAUUACUACAAACAGCCUCUUCAGUUUGUAUUAUAGAAUUCAAGUAUCACAGAAAUGCCCAGUGACUACGAACAUCGAGCAUUUAACUGAUUGACGUAACAGCCUGAUUGGUGUGGCUUUCAGAAUUUUUGUUCCGAAAGCAGCAGGCAAGCAUUUGGUUCAUAUCGUCUGAAGCUUUUGCGAGAAACAAAAUGAGAUUCCAACCAAACCUUAAAACCAGAAGCUCUAACUUGAGGUUCUGCUUAUGCUGCAGCGGCACGCUAUAAGAAGUUUCUUGAAAAAGUUUUUAGUGCUUCUUUACUCAAAGAGCACUUCUACAGAGUCUCCAAUUGGGCCAAACAGGCCCUAGACCAAUAAGUACGGUCUAGAUUGCCUUCUUUUUUCUUAUGAGCAUUAGGAAACAGAUACAUAAAUGUAGGGCAGAAAAGGCAAAUAACCGUCUCAGAGAUUUGAUGAAUUAUUUCUUCAGGUUCUUGGCCAGCACGUUGUAUGUCCCUUAAAACCCUCUUCACCAGGUCGAAAUGCACGCCGCCCGUCACAGAAACACGCAGGUCAAGUAGAGAUCGCAACUUCUCGCUCAAAGCAUAGAUUCCUUCAAUAAUUACGAUUCGGGAGCUAGGGACAUCUACUGUUCUGUUGAUAUUAUAAAAAGAGUUAGAAUAUAAGUGAGAAGUUAAGAAUUUGUUGUCUAAAGAACUGAAGGCCUAUGGAAUCAGGAUUGAAGAAAUUCGGGCCUGUUCAGAGUGACUAGAGGUUUUGCAAAAGUGCUGUUAAGUAUAAAUGUUCAAAAAGCACUACAGCUCUUCCAUUUACAUCCUUACCAACAAUUUAACGUUGCCAAAACUUCAAAUUGGAGCUUCUGAUUUUAGAUUUCAAAAGCUCAUUCAGCUUCCUACAGCAGAACAGGAAGGAAAAAAAAAAAGGACAUCUUGUUCCAAACACCUAGCCGCAGCUUUUGAGUAGAGGAGUUGUCCAGAAGCUGGGCAAAAUAGGCACUUUGGCCUAGUUUGGAUAUUAGAGAAACUUAUCCAAUGAUAACUUAUGCAUUACAGGGAUUUCCUUGUGUGAUUGCAAGCUUGGAGUUUGAUUUUAGCUCCUUUGGAAGUCUUGAUAUCCGUGACUUGUUAAGAGAGUACGUUUCACUUGCUAAGUGAUUUACUUUAUUCUGAGAAAAUGACUUGAAGGCCAGAUAUGGUUUGCCUUCCUAUGCAUUUGAUCAUACUCAUUUACCAAAUGCUAAAAGCUUCUUAAUUAAAGAAUAAAGGUGUGCUGAACAAGAUGUUCAUGCAUCCAAACUGGCCUUAAAGUGUAUGCUGGCAUCCUAUUUGUUAUAUGGAAAGGAAAAUCUCACCUGUAUCCGGUGCGGCAGCUCAACUUGUAGUCGUAAAUUGGCACUUCAACCGAUUUCCCUUCUUUUAGACCAUGAAUAUUUUCCAACAAAGUGUCAUAGUCAGUCAGGCGUGGGUCUGUUGAGAAAUUGCAUGAUACCAAUAUUAGAUUCUCCAUUAACAACUAAUCCUUUGUUACACAACUGCUUCUGCCAAUGAACAUAAGGAAAAUACGAUAUUGUUUACAAAACAAACAGGAAAUGUUAGGCAAGAAUAGAUAUUACCAUCAAAGUUGCCAUCAAUAAUUCGACUGGAAUCAUUGUAAUUGUCCAUCGAUAUGAGGGCAAUGCUAGGCAUGAAGUUGAGCACCUUCUCAGUAAACACAGUCUUUCCGGCCCCAGAGGGACCUGCGAUCCCGACCACAAUUAUCCCAUCGUUUUUUUGCGCCAGUAACUGGCAAGCACGAAUGACUAUAAAGAAGCCUUUCUCGAAAGAUAGCGGAUCUUGAAUCGGGACGAUUUCGUAACGGUCGCAGUCCUUUCUCUUCACCAACUGGACCUGAUCUCUUAGAAGACCCGUCUUUCGCCGUGGCGAUUCAGCGUUAGAGCUAUCUUGUGCCAUCAACAAGUUGAGCAGUGUGGGGUAACCCUGCAAAGCAAAUAGAGGCAAGCCAAUCAUAUCUCUAUAGUCAAAACAUAACAAAAAAAAAAAUCGCUCUGUUGUUAAAGAAAAUAUUAUUUUCAUGAGAAAUUGAAUUCAUCUCCUGAAAGAUGAGACCAUAUAUUUCAUCUUCUCAAUGUAGAAUUAUUCUCCUUCGGAAAUCAUUAAACUCCGGCCUCCAUGUGCUUCGAAGCGCAAACAUUAUUUAAUAAUGUAGAAUCAAGAAAACGCUUCCCCUAUUACUUUUGACAUGAACUUUUAAGUACAUAAGGCCCUCCAUAAACUGCUAGUUUGAGCAAAUUGCUUGAAAGUUAUGAACCUCUGUAUUAUUGGUGCAGUAAUAAUACAUAAACCCACUAAUCAUUUUUCUCUACACAAUAACUGGUGGUAUCACUUCUAAAUACAUCGGCACCAGAAGAUAACUGUUAUGUAGAGAAAUUAAUAUCUCAACAAGGGUAAAAGAUAGACCCAUUACAAUGGUUCCCAACAAAGGAGUUUUUUGCAUGAAUUUGAUGAUUUUCCCUAUUCCUCAUAAGCCCGAGGACUACACUAUGACGACCACACAAGAGAUUUCGACCCCGAAAAUUACAUCCUUAGCUGCAACCACUGUCUCAAAAUUCUCCAAGUUUUCGAAAAAUUCUUGAAUAGUUCAGAUUUUUUUUUUUCUUUUCCAAAUAUAUCUGUGAUUUACUUAGUUGUAAAAUUAAUACAAAGCAAUAAACAUAGCAAGCUACGAAUAACCCACAAAUCAAUUCACUAAUUGCAAAUACUUUAUACAACAUUCACAAACAAAUGAAUCACAAGAAUUUGGUAUUUAUAUGCACUUUUACAGGUUCAUAUUUAUAUUUUUUUUGACGGAUUAUUUUCCGAACUCUCCGAAUUUUGGCCAAACUCCAAACUAUUCAACCUUUCCCCACAAAUUUAAACUGAAUGCCAAAACCAAUAUACUAUUAACAGUUAAAUGACAACAAAAAUAUACUAAAUAAUAAUAAUAAUAAAAUGUAUCCGCUAUUUCGACAUAAUCCUUAGAAUCUAUGACUCAAAACAAUUUUAGUCCCCAAAAAUUCCAUCCUUAGACGCAAAAUUAUCUCCUAAACCUUGUUCCAAUUACAUAAAACUAAACCAAAAAAGCAACUUUUUCCCUCUAUAGUAAUUGGAAAAAAGGGAGAAAAAAAAGUGAUUACAUCGAAAAAAUUACCCAAAAAUAGAGAAAAAAAAAAAGUGAUUGCAUGGAGUUAAUUACCCAAAAAAGCGGGGAAAUUGUAGAGAUCGAAGAGUAGAGCAAUUAAUGAUCGAACGUACAGCGUUGGUUCGAUCGAGAACGGGGAACAAGCAGGAGUAAUAGAAGCGGGGGUAGAGAGAGAGAGAGAGAGAGAGAGGCGAAAUUGAUGACAGGUUAGGGUUUGUUGUGGGCCGAAUUGGAUUGGGCCUCGGCCCAUUUGUAAACUCUUAUAUCCUUUGGCUUUGGAUUAAUCCGGUGAGAUAUUUUUUGAGAAAACUUCAAAUACCACUCCGUAUUUUCGCACUUUCUUACUUCUUAUCCUGUGAUUUAAAAUGUAUCACUUUCGUCCCCUGUGAUUUUAUUUUUCUCGUUUUGCUUUCCCCGCCACUAAUUUUUUUUAUUAAAUCAGUAAUAAAGUUAAAACUAAAGAGUACUAAAGUGAAUAUUUGAUAAACCAUAGUUGGGGUAUCUGAAUUUUUUUGUAUAUAAUAUAAUUUAACGAAAAGUUAACGAAGGGGCUAAUGAAAAGAAAAAAAAAUGAAAUCAUAAGGUACUAAAAAUUGAUAUAGUUUAAACCAUAAAGUACUAAACUGAGAAAGUAUGAAAUCAUAGUGGUGGUACUUGAAGUUUAACUAUUUUUUUAAAAAAAAUUGGC
rnacentral:lncRNA from 1 species